UGAGUUGGGGUGCAUACACUUGCUUCAUAGUCUUUACCACAUUAUUGACUUACUAACUACAAUUUAUCCAUGCACAUUGCACAGGGUGGACUUGGUGGCGCUCAAGCAUUUGCGAAGUCAGAUAAAUUGGUGAAUAUGCUAAAGAAGCAAAAGGAAUCAAAUAGACCUUAUGGUGCUAUAUGUGCAUCCCCAGCUUUAGUGUUGGAGCCCCAUGGCUUACUCAAGGUACGACCGUUUCUGCUUAAAUUAUUUACUCAGAUUUGGAUCACCCAAUCUGAACUUGAUGAAGGAUUAUGAUGUUGUGUGAUUUUAUGAAUGUGGUCGUAUCUCAUGUAAGUCAGUGAUGAAUUAAUUGGAGUUUGCUGACAAAUUAGAAACUGAAAAACUGCUGCUGCUUCAUUAGUUACAUUACCCAAAGAGUUAAAAUAAACAUCCCAAAUUUUGUCCCAAAUUCUGUCCCAAAUGAUAUGGCAUUUAUUGAGUGAUUGUAUUAUCUAACCAACCAAUUGAUGAAUGUCACAUAAUUUGAGAUGGUUUUUUGGGAUAAAGAAUUUGGGAUUUUUACCCGCAAAAAUCCCAAGUACUUCCUGCUCCUGCAAUAUCAUUGCUGUGUAUUUGCUUUCCCCUUAGACAUAUUCAAUUGUGGUUCAGGGUAAAAAAGCUACAGCUUUUCCUGCUAUGUGCAACAAGCUGUCAGAUCAGAGUGAAAUCGAAAACAGGGUUGUGGUUGAUGGCAACCUCAUCACCAGUAGAGGGCCAGGAACUUCUAUGGAGUUUGCACUGGCAAUUGUGGAGAAGUUUUUGGGCCGCAACAAGGCACUUGAGCUUGCAAAGAUAAUGCUUUUCACUCGCGCCUAACGUUUGUAUGGGGACCUGUCUACUAUUAAACUAGUGUGUUUAUUUCUGUAUUGCUACUGCUUGUAGAGAGGGGAAAUGGAAACUUGAAUUCAUGUUUGAAUAUGGAUUCACUGUGUGGGUUUGUACAGCAGUUUGGUUUAUAAAUAAAUGAGUUCAUGGAGUCACUUCAAAUAUUCGGAAUAAACCUGAGUUUAGAUCUGUUAUCAAUGGUCGGAGUCCAAUUGCGAUCGACUCACUGGGAAUUUUAAUUAUGAAUCAUGUUAUAUUCCACCUUUCUCAUAAAAUGUUAACUCGAUUUACAGGAUAAGAAGGAAAAGAAAGACGCUAAGAGAGGAGCAGACACCCAAAAAGAGUUGACCACUUUGUUGGAACAUAAAUCUCUAGAAUAUUGAAAUAAAACACAUACCAUAUCUAGUAUCAAGUAUGUAUGUGCAAGAAGAUACAAAUUUGAAGAUCAGAUUUCUCAUUUCAAUUUAUGUUCUGCUUAGAGCAAUGGCUCUUAUUCCACAAGCACAAGCAGGAAAGAGUACGCACGAAGUUAAGAAACACACAUUGCAAAAGUUGCAUUAACUACUUGCGGCAACAUCAUCCAAGAACUUGACUUUAAUCUUCUUGAGCUUCGCUGCAGCAUCUGUCAUAUGCAUUCUCUUGUCAGGUGACUCCAUACAACAAUCCAAUGCCAAAUCCAUGAUGCUUAAUAAACAAUCCAUUUUGGCAGAAAAAGCUUGCUCUUCUCGCACCAAAUUUGCGUCAACAACUUCACUCAAUCUGUGAGGUAAUGACUCCUUCACCCAUCUCCUUAAACUCAUUUCUUCUGUGAACAUUUGAUCGGUGGGCCUCUUUCUCGUGAAAGUUUCCAUCAAUAACACACCAUAGCUGUAGACAUCACAUUUGGCUGAAACAAUUCCUUCUAAUCCAUACUCUGCAUUUUUUAAUUUUAAUUAUGAAACAAAUGAUAAAACAAAUAAUUUUUUUGAUAAUUAAGGUAACCCAAACUUUGCUCGUGCUUGAAAAAAGAGCAAAAAUUUUAAUUACAAUUGAAACUUUACCUGGUGCCAUAUAACCAAUUGUAGCCAUUGUCAUGGUUUGUGUCACACAAUCUUCUCCUUCACCUAAGAGUUUGGAAAUGCCGAAGUCGCACACAUGUGCCAUCAUAUUUUCAUCCAAGAGAAUGUUGGUGGGCUUCAAAUCACAAUGAAUUAUAGGUGCCGACGAAUGACCAUGAUGGAGAUAUUCAAGAGCCGACCCCACAUCUAUCAUUAUAUUCAACCUCUCUAGAAUGUCUAAGAAAUAAUUGUAAGAAUACAACCACUUCUCGAGACUACCAUUUGGCAUGAACUCAAGUACCAAUGCUUUGAAAUCUGGAUUAGAACAACUGCUAAGGAUCUUUAUGAGAUUUCGAUGACGAACAUUCCGUAAAACUUCACAUUCAGAAUCAAAACUCCUAAAUGCUCUCUCUAGUUGCAGAUUGAAAAUCUUUAUUGCAACAUUAGUCCCGUCGGAAAUGGUUCCUUUAUAAACUGAUCCAAAACUACCUGUACCCAGCAAGUUACAUUCAUUAAAUUCAUCAGUUGCUCGUUGAAUGUCAAGGUAGGAUGUUCUUCUCCAUGUUGCAAGAGGUAGGAAAUCUUCGUGAUCUGAUUUUUUUGUACUCCUCUUUCGGCAUCUUAUGUACAUAAUGAUGAUAAUCACUAUAAGUACAGAGGAUACUAUCGGAGGCAAAAUAUAUUUAAGGACAAUUAGAGCAACGUUCUUGGUGCUUUUGCUGUCACCUUGUUUGCAAGGUGGGACUCGGAGUUUAGGUGGACCACAGAGUGCAUAAUUUCCGAAAAAUGAUUCAGUUGACAAGUUUUUAAAAGACCCCUUAACAGGAAUUUCCCCUUCUAGCCUAUUAUGAGACACAUUAAAUUGUUUGAGAUGUGACAAUAUCUCCAAUGACUUAGGAAUUUUUCCAGAGAGAUUGUUGCCGGAGAGAUCUAAGGAUUCUAAGCUUAUCAAACUGCCAACUGAUUCAGGAAUAGGUCCCUGAAAUUGAUUACGAGCCAAGGAUAGAGUUUCUAGAUCUAUGAGGGCACCAAUGGUUGAUGGAAUAUCACCUAAUAAUUGAUUCCUUGAUAAAUCUAAAACUGUCAAGACCUUUAACUUUUGUACAUUGGAAGGGAGAGGACCAUUUAAUGAAUUAGACGACAAGUUUAUCUCUAAGAUGUACUCAAGGCUCCACAAGGAUGACGGUAUACUAGAAGUGAGCUUGUUGGAGCCUAAGCGGAGUUCUCUUAGAGAUGUCAAACUCGCCAAGCAUGGCGGUAUAUGUCCAGAGAGCUUAUUUCCAUUUAACCUUAUUCCGUAUAUCAACUCCAAGUGGCAAAGAUCAUAGGGAAUGGAUCCUUCCAAAUUAUUUUCUUCAAGAGAUAAACCUUGUAGCCGCUUAAGUCUUCCCAUCGUUGGUGAAAUAGUUCCAUUCAAGUCAUUGAAGCCGAGGCUUAAGAGGAUCAGGCCACGCAACUUACCAAUUUCUUUAGGAAUGCUGCCCCCGAGUUUGCAGUUGGAUGCAUAAAAUUGUCGAAGAGAAGCAGAGAAAUUUCCAAUCACUGGUGGAAGGAUGCCACCCAAUGGAUUAUAAGCUAAGGCUAAAAAUGUUAAAUUUCUGCAAUUAGUCAGAGAAGAGAGAAAACUCCACUGAUCUGCUGAAGAUGAUUCUGUCGUCAAGUUAUUAAAUGCUAAGCUGAGCACGUCGAGGUGUCUCAAGUUGCCAAAUGUAUUUGGAAUAUGGCCCGAGAAUGAGUUGAAGCCCAAGUCUAGGGCAACGAGUUUAGUAGCAUUGGUGAUAGAGUGGGGAAUUAUCCCUAUAAGAUUAUUGGCCGACAAGGCUAAAUACUCUAUGUUCGGAAGCGAGUGGCCAAUCGUUGACGGUAAGCGGCCUGAGAGUUGAUUGCCCCCCAGAGUAAGGAUUCUCAUGGUUGAAAUGUUGAAGAUCGUGGGUGGAAUGAGGCCACUUAAAUUGUUGUCAGCAAAAACAAGAACCUCCAAAUUUUCCAGAUUGCCAAUCUCGGUUGGAAUUUGACCUGCCAUCAGGCCAACAUUGAGGAGUCAUUGAGCUUUUAGCUUAAGGUAAAUUGAGUUUGACAAUGUUACCCUUGAAAAUGUAAAAGGAUCAAAUUAAUUUUAUUACACAAUAAUUUCAGCCAAUAAUGUUCUUUACACAAUAAUUCUGCAAAAUAUGCAUGCAAAUGGAAAAAUAUGCUUCAAUUACAAGAGGUGGUGGAGCGUACCUCGAAGAUUGCUGAAGCUAAGAUCCAGAUACACGAGUUUACUCAAAUUUCCAAUCCUUGAAGGAAUAUUUCCACCAAUAGUAUUGAACUCUGCACGCAGCGUCUCUAGCCUUGAUAAGUUGAAGAGAGAAUUAGGGAUGGGACCUGUGAAACUGUUAUUAUAAAGUCUCAAUAUUCGGAGUUUAGAUAAGACACCAAUCCAUGAUGGAAAGCUUCCGCUCAAUUUAUUGUAAGCGAAACUCACGACUCUGAGUCGACGUAAUUGCCCCAAUUCUUUCGGCAGAUGGCCAUGAAAAUUGUUCUCACUAAUGUCAAGAGACACUAGAAAUGAGAGAUUUCCCAAGUGUAGUGGAAUGGUGCCUCCGAGACCCAUAUCUGAAAGAUUCAAGGCAGUGACUCGUUGAUGGCGUGAACCACAAGAGAUACCAACCCAGCUACAUAUUGGAUAAGAUAUAGACCAAUUAUUUGCCAGGGCACUCCGAUAAUCAAGAAUGUGGGCUUUGAAUGCCAGAAGAGCUGAUUGAUCUGUUGUUAAAUCGUUUAAAGUCGUCACAGCUAAGCUAGCAAUGAGAUACUGUAACACUAACACCGACAUAGGAACAAAGAAGAAUGAUAAGCGCAUAUUGGUCGUUUUUAGUAGUAGUUGCAAGGCGAGAUUGAUACAAGUUUUAAGUAAAGGAAAUUAGCAUAUACUUAUAAUGAGACAUAUGAAUUUGAAAAUAAGAGCAGAAAAAAUAUACAGGAGACUUGCAAAUUGUUAUAUUCUGUCAUUGAGCGAGCCGUCCAAGUAAACGCAUUUACACUUGAACCCUAAAUAAAGGCCUUAUGGCACUUUAAUUGCCAUAAGGAAGAAGAUGCUCAACAUUGCCAAAAGUGUUUUUCUUGAAGUCUCGUCUUCCGUAAUGUUUGUAAAAUCGAGGUUUUACCAUCUCUAAUUAAAUAUUUACUCUUGAUUUAGACCACGUAAUCUAAACUUGACGAAAAAUUAUGAUCUUAUGUGAUUUUAUGAAUGUGGUCUUAUCUCUUAUAAGUCGGCAAUGAAUUAAUUAAAGCUUGCUGACAAAUUACAAGCUCAAAAAUAUCUUUUACUUAUUCACAAUCUUAUUUCAUUUUUUUAUAACAUAAUAUUAAAAAUUUGUCUAUUAAAUUAAUUUAAUAAUUUUUUUAAUAAAAAAUCUCAUUGACGACCAAACAACUAAUUUUUUUUUUAUAAAAGCUUUGCUUGUUAAAAUUAUGCUGAAAAAAACUCUACUUAAGUAAGUUCUAUUUUUUUUAUAAAAGCCAUUUUAUUUCUUUAUCUUUUUUAAUUAUUAUUGGAAAAGUAGCGCAGCUUAUCAAAAAAGGAAAGAAAAAAAAAAGUCAAAGUGACGAGUGGCUUGUUUUUUAAUUUCAAAGUCAAUGCAAAGUAAAAGUACCGAAAUAAUCAGUUUUUAAAUCCAAAUAAGUGGCAAUAAAGGGAGGUCUUGUUAGGGGUGUUCGCGGAUCGAAUUUUAUGGAUUGGACAUCAAUCCAUAUUCGAUCCACGAUUUUACGGAUUAUAAAAUUUCAAUCCAAUUCAAUCCACGGAUUUGUAAAAUUCAAUCCAAAUCCAAUCCAUAAAUCUGCGGAUCAGAUGCAAAUUUGACCUAAUCCAUAUCCAAUCUACAAUUUUGCGGAUUGGUUUGUGGACUGAAAAUUUUUAAUUCUGUCAAAUCCACGAACUAACUAAAUAAAAAAAUUUAAUAUAAAAAUAAUUUUACUACGGAUCAAAUUUAAAAUUAAAUAAGAUUUAAAUAAAUAAAUUGCUUAAAUAAAGCUAGCAAAUACAUUUAAAGUUUCAAAAUAUAACACACCAAAAUGAAAAAAAUAUCAUUCGUUUUAGAUCAAGGAAAUUAACUAUUUAGUAAACUAUAUUUGUUUAUUUAAUUAUUUUUUAUUUUUUAUUAUUAUCGGAUAUGAUAUAAUAUAAUGUUAAUGUAACUAUAUUUUAACUUAUUUAUUUACUAGUAAGUACUAAUAACAUAUUUACAAGUUUUAUUUUUAAUUAAAUAAAUACUUUUUAUUUUUUUGCGGAUUCGCGGAUUUUUACCGAUUUACAGAAGUAGAUCCAUAUCCAAUCCACUGAUUGCGGAUUAUCAAAUUUUCAAUUCAAUCCAAUCCACCAAUCCACGGAUCAGACGGAUUGAGCAGAUCGAAUUAGAUUAUGAACACCCUUAGGUUUUGGUGUGCAUUGUUGAAAACUUGGAAGUCUAUAUGACCAUUUAACCAAACUAUAGGGGUAUAACUGUCACAAAUUUUUAAAAAUAAAUUUUACCAAACAUUUAAAUGAUUUUUUUUUCACAAUUGAUUAUUAAAUUCUAAGUGUUAGACUAUUGUAAGAAUACAAAUAAUUGACAUGGACAUAAUAUUAAAUAAAAUUUACUUAUAUAUAUAUAUAUAUAUAUAUAUAUAUAUAUAUAUAUAUAUUAUUGUUUGUAUAUAAAAAUUGCUAACUAAAAAAUAUUUAUAUUUUAUCAAUUUUAUUUCUUUUAUUUUUUUAUCUCAAGAUAAAUAUAAUAAUAACAAUCUCUCUAAAUUUAAUUAUUUUUGCUCUUUAUUGAAUAAGGAUAAUUUUGAGUUUCUGUAAUAUAUGUGAGGAUAUAUAUAAAAUUGUAUUAAAUAUAUAACUAUUCUCAAAAUUAAAUUUUAAAAAACUAGUUCAUUCUCACUUUUCAUUUAAUUAGGCAAAUGGCCACAGAAAUUGUUCUCCCUCAUAUCCAAAUAAACUGAAAACGAGAGAUUUCGUAAGUGUGGAGGGAUGAUGCCUUCGAAACCCAUCACUGAAAGAUUCAAGUUUGUGACUCUAUGGUAUGAGCACCACAACAUAUGCCAAUUCGACUGCAUAUUGAGUAAGACAUGGACCAAUUAUUCAAGAGAUUCAUGAGCCUUCGAAGUGAGAAAUAAAGCAAAUUAUGUGGUGGUCGUGGGUCAAUUGACUACGUUUCGUGAUCUACGUGCGAUUGCAACAGUCGGUUCAUUAAGUGAAAUUAAUGACUCGUCCACUAUAGUAAGAUACUGUCCUCAUUAGGUUGGUGCUGGGUCAAUUUUAUCCAUGAGUCAACUUACAUUAAUUUGAAUUAAUUUAUAAGAGUAUCUCAUUUUCGUUGAUUACGAGUUGUGAUCGAUGACAUGCACGAAAGCAGUCAAUUUACAGGUCAUUCACUAUAUAUAUGGGGUCUAUGGGUGGAUGGAUCUAACGUAAAUUAAGGGUUGAUGAUGACCCUCGACUUCUAACGACGACCAUCGAAGACGACCUUGACUUUACAUGCAAACACACAAUUCGCUCUCAUACAUUAUGUUUUAAAAUUUCUCCAUUUUCCGGGGCCCCGCUGUCGACCGUACACAGUUUAAUUUGUAUAUACAAGACCUCAUUGUUUCUAGCAAGCAUAGAGCCAUAGACCAUAUUAAUUCCAAUUACAUAAAUCUUCAUUUUUAUCAUGAUUUUGGAUCUCGAGCAGUGUGGAUAUAUCCAACCAGAUCCGCCUCACUGGCAUCCCAAUAUAUUUUAGAAUUGAGUAAUGAGUAUCAAUAAAUGUGUAAUUGUAAAUCUACAACGUUUAAUUUUAAUUUGAGGACUCAAAUGAAUUUAUCCAACAAUACCUCGUUAAAUUAAUAUUCCAUAAAUUUUUAACUUUAAUUAAAUAACAAAUUUUGUCCGUCCCAACUUAGGAUUAACGUGGUAAUUAAUAAUUUGAUAAAUUGUUAGAUAAUAAUUUUUUAAAAAAAUCUUAUUUUUUUAUUGGAUCAAACUGAUAUAUAAAUGAAUAAUUAAUUAAUUUUAAAACUAAAUUCAUGUUAUGUCAAUCAAAUGUUAUUGCAAAGAAGACUAGCAGCGACGCUUUGAAAGGUACACCAAAGCCUUUUGCACCUUCUCCUCCGUGACCACCAAUAGAUACUUCCACCAUUUCAACGUCAUGACAUGAUGUAAGUUUCUUUUGUAGAAUUUGCGAAUUGGUAAUCUUUUACACGCGUAUAUUUAUAUCAUUGUAUAGUUAUAGAUUCAAUUACUUUUAUGAUGCAUUUAUUAAUUUGGAAUUGAAGUAGACAAGAAUGGGCUGUAAUGUGAAUGGAGAAUCGAAAUUAGAAUAAGUUAUUUACUUGAACUGUAGAAAUCGAAAUGAGUUGGAUUGUCAUUAAUGUGUUUACUUUGUCUUGGAAUCAGAAUUGAAAUAAGUUAGUUUAUAACAAAUUACUAAAAACUACUUAAUGAACUAUUGUUAUAAUUAUUAUUUUGUAUUUUAAUUAUUAUGAUUAUUUAUUAAAAAUUAUUAUUGUUAUUAUUACUUAUUGUUAAUAGUAUAUUAAUAUAUUAAUAAAUUAUAAUAAUAUAUUAAAUAACUAUAAUAUAUUAAAAAAUAUACUUGUAUUUACAAGAAAUGACUGAUAAAAUUUCUAAAAUCGUCUUCCUCCCUAAAACUCUUAAUGCCACAGCCCUAAAAAUUAAAAAGAUUUGGGAAUUAUAUGUCUUUUUUAAAAUAUUAAAGGGUGUUUAUUUCCUUAAACGGUGGGGACUAAAAGUCCUAUUCCCAAACGAGUAGUGUGCCGGCGUUGGAGGCUAGAAAGACAAUUUGUUACAUUGCUUCAGAAGUGCUUAAUGGAAAUUUUGGUGAGGCAUCACAUAAUUUAAAGGAUCAGGCUACGGUGCAACUGUGGUACCGUACUACAGUUGCAUCCAGCCGUUUUAAUUCACUUAUAUUGGUGAGGUUCACUGGCAUCCAACGGCUGAAUGCAACUAUGGCACGGUACCACAGUUGCACCACAAGUUUCCCCUAAUUUAAAUUACUGGAAUUUGCAUCAAUGGUUUUUAUUGGUUUAUUUACUCGUCAACAAAUUACUGUAACUGCAGAAAACAGUGUAACACAUUGUAUAAUACGUUAAUACGUUAUAUUGGUCAGUGCUCCUACCAAGGAAAUCUUUUUAAGUUUUGUUAGCAGAAUAUUCUUGUAAGGGUGGAGGCAUAAGAGAUUAAUAAUUUAAUAUCUCUUGUUCAUUAGAAGAUUUUUUUUUUUUGGGAAAAAAAAAGAAGAAGAUGGUUUGUUUAAUGUUGAUAAAUUUUGAAGUACAAUUUUAUAGAUGUCGAAUGUGGGCAAAAAGUAAAGAAGCUCAAACACUUUUCUACAUCUAAACUAAUCAUUAGGAUUUAUAUUAACUAAUAAACCCUAAUAAUACGAGCGUUCAUAAAAACUUCAUAUGAACAUUGAACCAGCAUGGCAUCAUAUUGUAAUAAGUUGUACAGCUGUCAAUCUCUUAUUAGUCAGAUAUAUUCUGAGUUAGUUACAUGAAUGUAGUAUAAAUAUCAUACUCUGUACACAUUCUUAGUUAGUUACUUCAGUAGAAUUUUCUCUCCUCUACUCAAUUUUUAAGUUAUCUUUUAUAUUGGGGGCAAAUGAUAUUUUAUUAACGAAAUGAUUUUGCCCUCUUAAUAAGCUCUCAUUUCUCCGCUUUGAUCAACACAGCCUUCUUUUAUUACAUCAAAAUUCUUCCUCUUUCCAUCAAAAUUUCAUGGAUCUGCCCUUACGUAAAAUCAUAUGAGAGUAUAUAAUAAAAUUAAUUAGGUAUGUUUGGAACAUUUUUGGUAUCCUUAAGCUGAUUUUAUUUUUAUUUUUUUAUAGUAUAUAUUGUCAAAAGUAAAUGCUAUAAACACUUUCGGAAAAAAAGAUGAAGAGCACCUUUGGAGUAAUUUUUUCUAUAGGAACUAACAAAACAACUAAAUGAUGUAUGUAUCUCUAAGAUUUAUUAUUAUUAAUUUUUUUUUCUGUAGUUGACAAAGCAUCAUGAUUGUGUUGGAUGAUAAGAUUAAAGGUGGGAAUGGUCCGAAUGGACCAAUUUUUUAGGAUAAAAAAAAAAAUGAUUCAAUCCUGGGCAUGUUUGGCUAUCGAAACUAGUUGAUUAGUCUAAAGUUUAAUUCAAAAGUAAUGGGACUAUUAAUCCUUAGGAAAAUUAUCAUUUGUAUACUCUAUAGAUGCUCUGUUAUAUAAAAAAUUACAACACUUUGAGAGUGUAUCAAUCGUCCACCCUAAGUUGACAAAAUAUAUCUGCCGUCCAUCAAACCGUUACUUGCUGUUUAAAUAGGAUAGCGCCAGAGGGGUAAUUUGGUCUUUUCAUAUGAUACAAGUGAUAAUUCAAGGGUAUACAAGUGAUAAUAAAAGAAUUUAAAGGUAUACAAGUGAUACUUUUCAAGGGUAAAAUCAUCAAUUCGCUAUAAUUCCGUUAACUUUCAAACGACAGCUAACGGUUUAGUGGUCGGCAGAUAACUUUUUUCAAUUUAGGGUGGACGAUUGAUACACCCUCAAAGUGUUAUAGUAUUUUUUAUAAUAGAACAUCUAUAGGGUAUACGAAUGAUAAUAUCCCUAAUCAAUCCUUAAUUCAACUUAGGUUUAAGUAGUAUAUAAAAAAUCUUCUUUAUCACUCUUUUCAUUUUUAUUUAGAUUAAAAUUCAUAUAAAUAAAUAUAAAGAAUUAAUUUCAUAAUUUAUUUAAACUAAAAUUUUAUAUUAUAUUAAAUAUCCAAAUUUUAAUUCAAUAAUUUAUUUAUAUUAGAAUUUUAUGCAAUAUUAAAUCCCAAAACUUUAUUUAAUAAUUUAUUUACAAAAAUAUUAAUAUCAAAUUCAACAAUUAGUAAUAUAAUUUAAAAUAAUUACACUAUUUUAAUAGUUAUUUAGCUAUAUUAAAUUAAAUUUAACAUAUCCUUGUCCGAUACUAUACUAAACAAACGAUAGUACCUUAUAUAGUAUAGUCAAUCUAUUAUAAUAUAAUUCAAUCUAAUCGAACGUGCCAAAUCAGUACAUUUUAAAAAAUAAUUUUAUAACAGCUUUAAAAAAGCAUUUUUUAAGUUACUUUUACAAAAUGUGCUUUCUCCGAAAGCACUCGUGAAAUGCAAAUUCUCACAAAACACGUGGUGUGUUCAAUUGGGCCUCCGCCCAUUAAAACUACAACCAUGAAAGCAAGCAAUGUUCAUUGGGCUUUAUUCUCUCGAGAAAACUUAUACACGUAGCCCACCACCGGCGCCCUAAUUUGUCUCCACCUCUCUAAAUAGAGUUGGACUAUUGGCACCUUUCCAAAAUUCUUCUGAAAUUCCUUUUUCAAUAAUAUUAAGUUUAAUGCUAAAAAUAUCCUUAUUUCCAAAUAAAUACAUUUAAUUUGUGAAUAUUUUAAUUUUCUAUUAUUUUCUCGCUCCUCACAAACAAAUUUUUAUGGGCGAUAAACUUCUUGAUAAAAAUCAAUUAAUUAAAUAAAAUAUCUAUAAGAUUAUAAUGUAAAAAAUUUUAUUAUGAGUCUUAAAAAAAGACAGAUAAAUUUAUCAGAAUGUGUUUUGUUUAUUAUCAAUAGAUUAUUUUAGUAAUUAAAGAAAAAUUUAUAGAGAAUUUGAGAAAAAAAAUUACGUGUGAGUUUGAUAGCAAAGAAAAUAUAAGAGUUUUUUUUUAAGAGAGAAAAUACAAAAGUUUGAAGUGAGAUAAAAUAGAUAUAAGAUAUAUUAGAGUAUUUAUCCUUAAAUUUAAUUGUAACAAAAGAGAGGUUUUAAAAAGAUUUUGGAGGAGUGUCUCCAACUCCUCUAAAUAUUAUUGAUUGAUGCAUAUGUUUCACAGCAUAGAGUGGCUUACAUUGGAGCUUUUCUAAAAAAAUGAAAAUUUCAUUUAAUUAUUUAUUAUUCACGGAUAAGAAAUUAACUUCUUCUUUUUUCUAACGCCACAGUCUGGUGAGCUUGCCUAGUGUGUUUUAGUUGGAUAAAAAUUUUAGCAAAUGCUUCUUGGCAAGGAAGCUUAAAUAGUUUAACCUGAAUUUAACCUCGAAUGAACCCAAAUUAUUAAACCGAACCAAUCCGAAUUGUGAAUCUGAAUUUCAGUUCGAUUCAGUUUGGUUCAGGUUCGUAUUUUCAACUCGAACAAGUUUAAUGCUCCAAUUCGAUCAGGUUGUAACCUAAACCGAAACUCGAAAACCCGAACUGAAACUCAAUUUGGCCACCCCUAAUGAGAACUGAGAAGUACCUGGAUCGUAAAAGAAAGGUUUUGAUGAUAAUUUUGGCUAAAAAUCUGUUUCUUAACUUCUAUUUUUAUUUUUUUAUGCUGUAUUUUAGUUGCUGAAUAGGUUAUAUAUAGAAGUUCAGUUAAUUUUGUUUUGGAUGAAAAAUCAAUGAGUACUUCUGUGAUUAAUAAGUGAAAUUUUGUUUGCAUCAUAUAGUCAGCUAUAAUGCAUUGGAUGGCUUUGACUCAGCAUGGAAGAAAUGCUCUCCGGCAGAUUACUAAAGAGAGCUCUGAUCGCGUGUUGCAUCACCCAUUGCUAUUUUCUUGUCAAGGAGUCAGAUACAGACGAUUGGAAGUGAUUCUAACAACAAUGAGUAAAUUGAUCUUUUGUUUUCCCUUUUCACCAGUUUGGAUCUCUUGACUAAUCAGCCUGUUUGAGUUUUAACUUGUGUAUUAAUGAUUGGUUUUAUAUGUUCAGAAAGUUGACAAGCUUGGUAAAGCCGGUGAAACUGUGAAGGUUGCUCCGGGGUAUUUCCGGAACCACUUGAUGCCCAAAUUGCUUGUUGUUCCAAAUAUCGAGAAGUUGGCUCAUCUCAUUAGAGAGCAGCGCAGGUAUUUGUUUUUCAUGAUUCUUCUCGGUUGAACUUUUUUUGUUUGGGUUGAGAAUGGUUAAUUCUAGUGAUACAGAAAUUUGCUCAUUUUCUUUAGAUACUUUGUUUAGCCAGUUUGUCAAUUAAUUUGACUCAUGGCUUCAAAUUAUUGCUAAAUUCUCAGUUUGGAAAUAUUUGUGAUUUUUGAAGGGGCAUUACAAGUUAUUAAAGUUUGUUGUGCCUGUGACUUAUUUUCAUCAGAUUUGCCAGCCUGAGGAAGAGGAAGAGGAAGAGGAAGAGGAAGAGGUUAGAGUUAUCCGGAAGUCUGAGGACAAUAUGAGUAGAGAAUUUGAGAAGGCAGCUAGGCGCCUAGAGAAUGCUCGACUGGUUUGUGGCCUAUCUUUUAAUUUCUUCAGAUUCGGGACAAAUUGUCUUGGAGUGAACUGAUGUGUUGCCUUUUCCUUUUUUUUUAGCUUGAAUGAUCUAUUUGCUACAGUUAGGAGUGAACGUCGUAAUGAAUUUUAAAUUAUACUGUUUGUUUCGAUUUACUUUUCUAUCUUAGCUCCAUCAAGUGAUUAGUGGAAUGCUGGUCCUGUGAGUAUAAAAUGAAACUCCUUAAGUUAAAUUCCUUAGGCUGUGUUUAUUUUCUGUAGUGGGAGCGAGGAGUGUAAAUUCUUUUCAUUUCAGUAUUUAUUUCAACAAAUUGGCUCCGGAUUGAGAAUCCCACUCAGUAGACCCCACCCAUUUUUGGAGUGAGAUUCCCAUGGGGAGAGGUGGGAGUGAGAUUCCCACUCCCACCUCUCCCUUUUUUUACAUUUUUUUUAAUUUAAUUUAAUUUAACUUAAUUUAAUAUUUAAUAAAAUAAAAUAAAUAAUAUCAUAUUUAUUUGAAUAAUAUUAUUAUAUUUAUUUUAAAAAUAAUAAUACUAUAUUUAUUUAAUAUUAAUAAUUAAUAAUAAUAAAUAGUUUAUUCUAAGAAAAUAUUAAUUUUGUCCUAAAUAAUAUUAUAUUAUUAUUUUAUAUAAUAAUAAAUUUAAUAUAAUUAUAUUAAAUAAAAUAAAAUAAUGUUUCAUUUUAUAUUUACCCUUCUUUUUUACCCUCUUUUUAUUAAAUUUACUAUAAUUAUAUUUAAUAAAUAUUUAAAUAAUAUUAUAUUUAUUUAAAUAAUAUUAAUAUAUUUAACUAAAUAAUAAUUUGGUUUGAUUCUAAGUCUAAAUUACUUAAAAAUAAUAUUAUUAUAUUAAUACAGAAUUAAUAAUAUUACUUUUAUACCAUCUUUAUUUGAAAAUAUAUUAUUAUUAUUAUUAUAUUUAUUUAAAAAUAUUAGUAUUAUAUUUAUUUAAUAUUAAUAAUUAAUACUAAUAAAUAGUUUAUUCUAAGAAAAUAUUAAUUUCAUACUAUGUUAAUAGUAAAAUAUUUCAUUUAUAUUGCCCUUAUCAAUAAUUUUUAAUUUAUAUAAUUAAAAUUAAAAUUAAUAAAAAAAUGUGAUGUUCAUAAUUAAGAAUAUUAAUAAUUAUUAUAAAUUUACAAAUAUAAAUGUUUAUUCAUUAAAUAUAUUUUUUAUUAACUUUGUAAUUAAAAACUAUAAUUCUUUAAAUAAGGAUAAAAUUGUAAUUUGAAACUAUUUACUCCCAAUCCGAGACAAACUAAACACAUAAAUUGAAUUCUGAUCUCCAUUCCAUGCUUUCAUUUUAGUGUAAGUAAACAACAUACUCCCACUCCCAAUCCUAAGAUUCCCACUCCAAUUCAAAAAGUAAACGCUACCUAAAUACAAGUAAUCUUGCUUUCAGAUAUGAAUUAUCUGAUGGAUGUUGUAUUUUCAAGGUAUUGAGGAGAUUCCCCAAUAUUGAAAAAUUGCGUUCCCGUGCAUCAAAAGAUGAUCCCAUAGAAUUGCGUUCACCUGUGACAAAAGAGGAGCUUGUAGUUGAGGUAUGGAUUUUUAUAUUUCUUGGUUGUUUUUAUACUUGUUUCUCAUCAUAAUAGCAAAAGCAGUUUGUUCUGAGUGAUCUGUGUGGUCUCCUAUCAAUGACUGCCGUUUCUAUCAUUUAGUACUAUUGACUAUGUGUGUAUAAAUAUUUUGUUUUUACCAUGUAAUUUCAUAUUCGAUGCAUUUCUAAUACAUUGCAUAGCGUCCAUGAAUGGGAAUGAUAAAAUAAAUUUCAAGCGUGUUUCAAUAGAUGAAAAAACUUGGAACGAUUUAGAAGGAUUUGCUGAUUAAAUAAUUUUCCAAUUUGUUUGCUUGGAGGAAUUGAAUAGUUAACUGAUUAAAGGAUUUCAAGGUGGUUCGGUCCCGCUGGGCAUUGUCAAUAUCAACGGUCAUUAAUUCCUAUUAUCUGAAAUUGAAUUUCCAGUGUGGCAUGGUAACUUUCUGCUAGGGUGUGAUUGUAUAGUAGCCAAUUGUGAGCAACAGAUCCGCAUAGUAAUAUAGAUUGAAAUUUUGCAUCUUAAUCCAUGAAGAUAUAGAUUUUGGCAAUAUUAUACAAGCACUGGGGAUUACCUUAAAUAUUCUGGACUUGUCAUUGAUAGAGUUUCUUUUACCUAGUUAUUGAUAUUUCUUUCAAUUUUCUAUUUUACUCAUACAAUUUAUACAAUUUUAGGUGGCAAGACAACUUUCGUUUUCUAUUGAGCCUGAAAACCUGCAUCUACCAUCACCUCUAUCUGCUUUUCGAGAAUAUGAGGUUCCUAUGCGCUUACCCAAAGCCAUCCCCCUACCGGAAGGAAAGGUCCAAUGGAUUCUCAAUGUUAAAGUCCGCGGCAAAUAAAUAUUUUUUAGUUAAUUUUUUAAUCAAUAAAAAAAGGUAAUUAAAAAUGUAAUUAAUAAAUUACUUAUUAGCAAAUUAAAAAACAAAUAUUAGCAUAAAAUAAUUGAUAUUUCAUUCUCUUACAACAAUCUUACCAAUUAUUAUUUAUAAAUUAAUUAAUGCAAGUUAAUUUAAAGUAAUGUUUAAUAUUCUUGUAACAACCUUACUAAUAAUUUUUUGAUAAAAAAAUUAAUUUAUUAAAUUAAUCCUAGAAGUAAAAUAAUAAUAAUUAAUUUGUAUUUUAUUUUUAAGAUUAAUUUGAUAAAUUUAAUUUUUUUUAACUAAUAUCUCCAAGAAUAUAGUUGUAACGAUAUUAUUACAAAAGGAAAAAAAAUAUAAGAUUAUAAUAUAUUUACCAGUAAGAAUAAUUUAAAAUAUUUUUUAAGAUAUAAAAAUUAAACGGACACUUAAUUAAAAAAAAAAAAAAAAAACUAAAUAAGUAGUUAGCUUUUAACAUUUCAACCUAGUGGUCAUACAAUCAUGGUGCGGCCCGGGAUGGCUGGCCCAGCCCAUCAUGUAAAAAUCCAUGUCACCCUCAUUCUUAAGCUGCUACUCUGCCACUUGCCACGGAGCUCCCCACAUCAUACCGUACCGAUGCCUCUAGAAAGCUAACUUUAAAAAAAUGGUAUUAAUAAGCGUACGCCACGUCACUCCUCACUCUCUUCUUCGUCACUUUCCUCUCACUCAACAUUUUCUCCCCAAACAAAUUCCUUCUUUGAAAAAUCGCAUUUUCUCCUUCACAGCAACCGCUACAAUGUCUUCAACUUCCAAGAAGGUAAUUUUUUUAAAUUUUAUUUUUUGUUUAGUUUCUUUCUGUUGCCUUUUUGUUUCGUUUUUUGAAUUUUCUGUGUCGUUUUUUUUUUCCCAAGGUUUUGGUGCCUGUUGCGAACGGGAGUGAGCCGAUUGAAGCCGUGAUAACGAUCGAUGUUUUGAGAAGGUCUGGAGCUGACGUCACGGUUGCGUCUGUGGAUAAACAGCUUCGUGUCGACGCGUGUCAUGGUGUCAAGAUUGUCGCUGAUGCUCUCGUGUCUGACUGCCGCGACGCUGUUUCUGAUCUUAUAGCUCUGCCCGUAUGUAUUGCAGCUCACCUCAGCUCAUGCUAAUUUAUGUGAUGUUUGUAUAAUUAUAGAUGAUUACUGCUGAUACUGAAUGUUAAAGCUAAAUAAUUCGUUCUUAAGUCAUCUUCAUUUAAUUUUCGAUUGAAAAUGAAAAAAAAAAUAAUUUUAAGCAAAGAAAAUGUUUAUUUUGUUUUAUUUUUAUUUUUAAAUUUUUGGGAUUUCCUUAUUGUGACUGUUGUCAUUCAUUAUAUGGUCCUAGUUAAAUGUUUCAAGUUGUUGUAGUCUGUGAAACUCUUUUCGAUAUUUGUUCUGGCAUGUACAUUUUUCCUUUCAAUUUAUUUUGUUGCUGAUACUUUGAUUAUGAUAUAUCCUUUUUUGUUUCCCUUGUAGGGUGGCAUGCCCGGUGCUACCAAUCUGAAAGAAUCUGAAGUAUUAGAAACCAUUGUGAAGAAGCAGGCUUCAGCUGGGCGUCUUUAUGCUGCUGUCUGUGCUUCACCUGCUGUGGCAUUAGGGUCUUGGGGUCUGUUGAAGGGAUUGAAGGUAAGAAUUAGAUAAGCCUUUUUUUAUGUUUGGUGUUCUUUUGGGAAUUGCAUUGAUAUUUGUGUUAUACAUCAGUUUUGCUCUCACCGAUGAUUGUUAAGUUCUAAUUUAUGGGGUUAUUCAUUUUUUGUAGGCUACUUGUUACCCGUCAUUUAUGGAGCAAUUAGCUCCUGCUUGUGCAGCAACUGUUGAAUCAAGAGUACAGCAGGAUGGUAAAGUUGUUACGAGUCGUGGACCUGGCACUACUAUGGAGUUUGCCAUUGCACUUGUCGAGCAGUUGUAUGGGAAAGAGAGAGCUGAUGAAGUUUCUGGGCCACUGGUAGUAACUUUUAUAGAUAAUGUUGUUUAAAAAAAUUGUGAGUUAUAUAAUUUGUGGAAAUUCAUUCUAAUAGGUUCAUCUAGUAUGUCAAAUUGGAAGGUUCAGAUGCUAAUAUAUUCCAAAAAAUUUGUUCAGGGGAAAAGUAUGACUUUUUGCAUUAGAGAUUCAUUAGAUGAAGUUGUAUACCUGCUGGCCCAUCUUAAUGUGGUGAAAACGAUGUCUGAUGAGACUGAUAUAAUUAUUGGAAUCUUGAUAAAUGCAUUUGUUGAGCUUGAAUGUCUCCACUGAUCACGUUCUUUUUAAUGUAAGUUCUUUCUCUUGGUAUUUGUCUUUGAAUCUUCUCUUCCUCAUGCUUUCGUCUUCACUGUCACCUUGUGCCUAGGUAAUGCGUGCAAAUCAUGGAGAUGAAUACACUAUUGCUGAAUUCAAUCCAAUUCAGUGGACAUUUGACAAUUCUCCCCAAGUAAGAUUUGACUUCUAGUUUCUUGUAGUUGUUUUUCUUCAUCCGAUGUUUUCAGGGAUACCCAUUUGGCAGUAUAUAAAAGUCUGUGAUAUCUUCUAUACAUAUACAUCAUUGGCUUCAGUCAUUUUCGAACAUAUUGGAGGUAGUAGAUGUAUUUUUAUGAUAUCUCUAAUAAAAUCCCAAGUUUGAUCAAUUACAAAAGAAGUAUGAGCGGUGCUGGACCGGGGGGGAAGAAGAAGUGGGGGGUCGGUGUGGUGGGGGUGUGCAGUGCAUGAAUAAAAGGAAAUGAUAGGGGGUGAAAGUUUGUGCUACCGACAUGCUGUAAAAUGGGGACAUAAUAUUUCAAAUUAGAUAUUGUGUGAUCCUUAAUAUUGCUGACUUUUGCUUAAAAUGGAAUUCUUGAUAACUUCAAAUGUUAAAGUUCUUGGUGAAAUUUUGUACUUUCUUUUCUUUCAGAUUCUUGUGCCUAUUGCAAAUGGUUCAGAGGAGAUGGAAGCUGUUAUGAUAAUUGAUAUUCUGCGACGAGCUAAAGCAAAUGUUGUAGUUGCAUCAGUUGAGGAUAAACCAGAAAUUCUGGCUUCUCGUCAAAUUAAAUUAGUGGCAGAUGUGCUCAUUGAUGAGGCGGCUAAACUCUCGUAUGAUUUAAUUGUCUUGCCAGUGAGUUGGGGUGCUUACUGUUGCUUCAUAGUCUUUACCACAUAAUUGACUUACUAACUACAAUUUAUCCAUGCACAUUGCAUAGGGUGGACUUGGUGGCGCUCAAGCAUUUGCGAAGUCAGAGAAAUUGGUGAAUAUGCUAAAGAAGCAAAAGGAAUCAAAUAGACCUUACGGUGCUAUAUGUGCAUCCCCAGCUUUAGUGUUGGAGCCCCAUGGCUUACUCAAGGUACGACCAUUUCUGCUUAAAUUAUUUACUCAGAUUUGGAUCACCUAAUCUGAACUUGAUGAAGGAUUAUGAUGUUGUGUGAUUUUAUGAAUGUGGUCUUAUCUCAUGUAAGUCGGUGAUGAAUUAAUUGAAGUUUGCUGACAAAUUAGAAACUGAAAAACUGCUGCUGCUUCGUUAGUUACAUUACCCAAAGAGUUAAAAUAAACAUCCCAAAUUUUUUGUCCCAAAUUCUGUCCCAAAUGAUAUGGCAUUUAUUGAGUGAUUGUAUUAUCUAACCAACCAAUUGAUGAAUGACACAUCAUUUGAGAUGGUUUUUUGGGAUAAAGAAUUUGGGAUUUUUACCCGCAAAAAUCCCAAGUACUUCCUGCUCCUGCAAUAUCAUUGCUGUGUAUUUGUUUUCCCCUUAGACAUAUUCAAUUGUGGUUCAGGGUAAAAAAGCUACAGCUUUUCCUGUUAUGUGCAACAAGCUGUCAGAUCAGAGUGAAAUCGAAAACAGGGUUGUGGUUGAUGGCAACCUCAUCACCAGUAGAGGGCCAGGAACUUCUAUGGAGUUUGCACUGGCAAUUGUGGAGAAGUUUUUUGGCCGCAACAAGGCACUUGAGCUUGCAAAGAUAAUGCUUUUCACUCGCACCUAACAUUUGUACGGGGACCUGACUACUAUUAAACUAGUGUGUUUAUUUCUGUAUUGCUACUGCUUGUAGAGAGGGGAAAUGGAAACUUGAAUUCAUGUUUGAAUAUGGAUUCACUGUGUGGGUUUGUACAGCAGUUUGAUUUAUAAAUAAAUGAGUUCAAAGAGUUACUUCAAAUAUUCGGAAUAAACCUGAGUUUAGUUCUGUUAUCAAUGGUCGGAGUCCAAUUGCGAUCGACACACUGGGAAUUUUAAUUAUGAACUAAAAAAUUGUUAUGUUAUAUUCCACCUUUCUCAUAAAAUGUUAACUCGAUUUACAGGAUAAGAAGGAAAAGAAAGACGCUAAGAGAGGAGCAGAGACCCAAAAAGAGUUGACCACUUUGUUGGAACAUAAACCUCUAGAAUAUUGAAAUAAAACACAUACCAUAUCUAGUAUUAAGUAUGUAUAUGCAAGAAGAUACAAAUUUGAAGAUCAGAUUUCUCAUUUCAAUUUAUGUUCUGCUUAGAGCAAUGGCUCUUAUUCCACAAGCACAAACAGGAAAGAGUACGCACGAAGUUAAGAAACACACAUUGCAAAAGUUGCAUUAACUACUUGCAGCAGCAUCAUCCAAGAACUUGACUUUAAUCUUCUUGAGCUUCGCUGCGGCAUCUGUCAUAUGCAUUCUCUUGUCAGGUGACUCUAUACAACAAUCCAAAGCCAAAUCCAUGAUGCUUAAUAAACAAUCCAUUUUGGCAGAAAAAGCUUGCUCUUCUCGCACCAAAUUUGCGUCAACAACUUCAGUCAAUCCGUGAGGUAAAGACUCCUUUACCCAUCUCCUUAAACUCAUUUCUCCUGCGAACAUUUCAUCGGUGGGCCUCUUUCUCGUGAAGGUUUCCAUCAAUAAAACACCAUAGCUGUAGACAUCACAUUUAGCUGAAACAAUUCCUUCUGAUCCAUACUCUGCAUUUUUUAAUUUUAAUUAUGAAACAAAUGAUAAAACAAAUAAUUUUUUGAUAAUUAAGGUAACCCAAACUUUGCUCGUGCUUGAAAAAAGAGUAAAAAUUUUAAUUACAAUUGAAACUUUACCUGGUGCCAUAUAACCAAUUGUAGCCAUUGUCAUGGUUUGUGUCACAGAAUCUUCUCCUUCACCUAAGAGUUUGGAAAUGCCGAAGUCGCUCACAUGUGCCACCAUAUUUUCAUCCAAGAGAAUGUUGGUGGGCUUCAAAUCACAAUGAAUUAUAGGUGCCGACGAAUGACCAUGAUGGAGAUAUUCAAGGGCCGACCCCACAUCUAUCAUUAUGUUCAACCUCUCUAGGAUGUCUAAGAAAUAGUUGUGAGAAUAUAACCACUUCUCGAGACUACCAUUUGGCAUGAACUCAAGUACCAAUGCUUUAAAAUCUUGAUUAGAACAACUGCUAAGGAUCUUUAUGAGAUUUCGAUGACGAACAUUCAGUAAAACUUCACAUUCAGAAUCAAAACUCCUAAAUGCUCUCUCUAGUUGCAGAUUGAAAACCUUUAUCGCAACAUCAGUCCCGUCGGAAAUGGUUCCUUUAUAAACUGAUCCAAAGCUACCUGUACCAAGCAAGUUACAUUCAUUAAAUUCAUCAGUUGCUCGUUGAAUGUCUAGGUAGGAUGUUCUUCUCCAUGUUGCAAGAGGUAGGAAAUCUUCGUGAUCUGAUUUUUUUGUACUCCUCUUUCGGCAUCUUAUGUACAUAAUGAUGAUAAUCACUAUAAGUACAGAGGAUACUAUCGGAGGCAAAAUAUAUUUAAGGACAAUUAGAGCAACGUUUUUGGUGCUUUUGCUGUCACCUUGUUUGCAAGGUGGGACUCGGAAUUUAGGUGGACCACAGAGUGCAUAAUUUCCGAAAAAUGAUUCAGCUGACAAGUUUUUAAAAGACCCCUUAACAGGAAUUUCCCCUUCUAGCCUAUUAUGAGACACAUUAAAUUGUUUGAGAUGUGAAAGUGUCUCCAAUGACUUAGGAAUUUUUCCAGAGAGAUUGUUGCCAGAGAGAUCUAAGGAUUCUAAGCUUAUCAAACUACCAACUGAUUCAGGAAUAGGUCCUUGAAAUUGAUUACUAGCCAAUGAUAGAGUUUCUAUAUCUUUGAGGGCACCGAUGGUUGAUGGAAUAUCACCUGAUAAUUGAUUCCUUGAUAAAUCUAAAACUCUCAAGACCUUUAACUUUUGUACAUUGGAAGGGAGAGAAUCAUUUAACGAAUUUGACGACAAGUUUAUCUCUAAGAUGUACUCAAGGCUCCACAAGGAUGACGGUAUACUAGAAGUGAGCUUGUUGGAGCCUAAGUGGAGUUCUCUUAGAGAUGUCAGACUCGCCAAGCAUGGUGGUAUAUGUCCAGAGAGCUUAUUUCCAUUUAACAUUAUUCCGUACAUCAACUCCAAGUGGCAAAGAUCAUAGGGAAUGGAUCCUUCCAAAUUAUUUUCUUCAAGAGAUAAACCUUGUAGCCGCUUAAGUCUUCCCAUCGUUGGUGAAAUAGUUCCAUUCAAGUCAUUGAAGCCGAGGCUUAAGAGGAUCAGGCCACGCAACUUACCAAUUUCUUUAGGAAUGCUGCCCCCGAGUUUGCAGUUGGAUGCAUAAAAUUGUCGAAGAGAAGCAGAGAAAUUUCCAAUUACUGGUGGAAGGAUGCCACCCAAUGGAUUAUAAGCUAAGGCUAAAACUGUUAAAUUUCUGCAAUUAGUCAGAGAAGAGAGAAAACUCCACUGAUCUGCUGAAGAUGAUUCUGUCGUCAAGUUAUUAAAUGCUAAGCCAAGCACGCCGAGGUGUCUCAAGUUGCCAAAUGUAUUUGGAAUAUGGCCUGAGAAUGAGUUAAAGCUCAAUUCUAGGCCAAUGAGUUUAGAAGCGUUUGUGAUGGAGUUGGGAAUUUUUCCGGUAAGGUUAUUGGCCGCCAAGGUUAAAUACUCUAUGCUCGGAAGCGAGUGGCCAAUCGUUGAUGGUAAGUGGCCUGAAAGUUGAUUGCUAAUUAGAUUAAGGACUGUUAGGGUUGAAAUGUUGAAGAUUGUGGGUGGAAUGGGGCCACUUAAAUUAUUCGCACUAAGAACAAGGGUAUCCAAAUUUUGUAGAUUGCCAAUCUCAGUUGGAAUUUGACCUGUCAUAAAGAUAAACGCCAAAUUGAUGAGUUAUUGAGCUUUUUACUUAACAUAAAUUUUAAUUUCAUAACGCAUGAAAAUCAAAUUUGCCCACAAAAUGUGUGUUAUUAGUUUUAUAAUUUUUUUUUGGGUUUUUUUUGGGGGGGGGGGGGGGGAGAUUGAUAUUGCUACCUCAUAAUUUUUGUAAAACCCCACCCGCUUUCAGAGAAUUAUUGGAACAAGAUUCUUAAAAAAAUUCAAAUAAAGAAGAAGUUUGGAGAAAUAAUCAAUUAAAUCCAUCUUAAUAUACUUUUUGAAACUUAUAUUCUUUUAUCAUAUAUAAUAACUAAGGUUGCUUUAACAUAAAUUUAAUAUAACUAGUCUACUCUCAUAAGGUAGAAUUACUAAAAUACCCACAAAUUUACUUCAACUUCAACUAAACUAACAAAAUGUAUUUGUUGACAUGUGGGGAACUAAAAAUUAUUGAAUUUUAUUUUAGAAAUAUUGUAUUACAAAACAUAAAACAAAAUGCCGAAACUAUAUAUUAGAUACAAUAGUACAUGUUUUUCGGGGUAAUUUGGUCAUUUUAUAUUAUAAGAGUAAAAUAGUCAAAUUAAACUUAUUUUAAAGCAACCGUAAACGGUCAAAGAUUGUUAAAAGCCCUAAGUCAUAAAAGAAAAACAUUAUAAAAAUAAUUUAUUAAUUGUUCAGACUUAAUUUAUAAUUUUAUAACAUAAUGUGAACUUAUUAUAACUAUCUUUUCAAAAUGAGGUGGGUUUGCAAGAAUAAUGAGUGGAAAUAUCCCCACCCUAUAAAAUAAAAAGAAUUUUGCAGCUAUGCAAAUGCAAAUAUGUAGAACGUACCUUGUAGGUUGUUAUAACCUAGAUUCAGAAUGAAAAGGCUGCUAAAAUUUCCUAUCCCUGAAGGAAUAUUUCCAUCAAUAACGUUGUAGAUUGCGUCGAACACCUCCAGCUUCGAUAAAUUGAGGAGAGAAUUUGGGAUUGGACCCGUGAAACUGUUAUUAUAAAGCCUCAACGUUUGUAAUUUGGAUAAGACACCAAUCCAUGUUGGAAUGCUUCCACUCAAUUUAUUGAAACCGAAUCUAAUGAAUCUGAGUCGGCGUAAUUGCCCCAAUUCAUUAGGCAGAUGGCCAUGAAAAUUAUUAUGAGCAACAUCAAGAGAUACUAAGAACGUGAGAUUUCCCAAGUGUAGUGGAAUGGUGCCUCCGAGACCCAUAUCUGAAAGAUUCAAGGCAGUGACUCUUUGAUGGCGUGAACCACAAGAGAUACCAACCCAGCUACAUAUUGGAUAAGAUAUAGACCAAUUAUUUGUCAGAUCACUUCGAUAAUCAACGACACGGGCUUUGAAUGCAAGAAGAGCCGAUUGAUCUGUUGUUAAGUUGCUCAAAGUCGUCAUAGCUAAGCUAGCUAUGGAAUAUUGUACCAACAACAUAGGAACAAAGAAGAAUGAUAAGCACAUAUUGGUCGUUUUUUUUUAUAGAUGCAGCAAUCUAAUUGCUAGGUGAAGUUGAUACAAGUUUUAAGUGAAGGAAACUAGCAUAUACUUAUACAAGAGACGUAUGAAUUUGAAAACAAGAAAAGAAAAAAAUGUACAGGAGAGUGGAGACAUGCAAAUUGGUAUAUUUCAUCAUUGAGCGAGUCGUCCAAGUAAACUCAUACAGACCUGUAAAUUGUUAUAGGCCGCGGUACUUGAACCGUGAAUAAAGGGCUUAUGGCACUUGACUUACCAAAAAGAAGAAGAUGCUCAACAUUGGCAAGGCCUAUGCAUUCUGUCCAUUUGUUCACGUUUUGCCAAGGCUCAGGGCAACCACAAUAUGUUCUUUUUCUUCCCUCUUAAAACAAAAAACAAAAAAAAAAGACGACAUUUACAUUUGGGCUAAUAAUUAUAACUAAACAAUUAAUAAUACUGAGGGUCAGUGGUAAUGUAGCUUUAAAAUAAUUGUUAUUAGUUGUGUCUUAAAAAUAAAGAAAAAAAAUAACUAUACCCAUAUAAUUAAUAAAAUAAUCAUGUAAAUUCCUAAGCUUUUAACAAUAUACACCAAGACCCCCUACCGUUACUUUUUACCAUUUAUUUGGAUGUCACAUGCUUUUUUUUUUUAAUUUUCACAGUGGAUAUCAAAUGCUAAAUUUACUGUUAUUCCCAUAUCAUGUCAUCACUUGCUUCUACACACAUUGAUUGUUUUUCCAAAGUUUCAAAUUGAAUUAAAAACAUUCUAAUUAACCUAAAAAAAACUCAUCCAACCAGAUAUAAAUCAUCUAAUUAACCUAAAGAUAGCUACACCCCCAUAUUAAUUCCAAUUAAAUAAAAUUCAUUUUUGUCAUGAUUUUGGAUCUCGAGCAGGGUGGAUAUAUCCAACUAGAUCCGCCCCAUUGGCAUUCCAGUAUAUUCUGUAAUUGGAAGAGUAUGAAUGACUUAAUUUGUAAUUUUAAAUUUGUAACGUUCAAUUCUAAUUUGAGGAUUCAAAUGAAUUUAUGCGAAUCUAAAAGGGGACUGAAGAUUGGCAUGCAUACAUGCAUACAUAUACAUAUAUAUAUAAAUAGAGAGAGAGAGAGAGAGAGAGAGAGAGAGAGGUAAUAUAACAUUCUUCUUGAUGAAGAUUUUUGUGCCAUACGAAUUAAAGAGAGUAUUGUGUCGAUGUUCGAGGCUAGAGCGACAAUUGGUUACAUUGCUUCAGAGGUGUUUAGUAGAAACUUUGGUGAGGCAUCACAUAAUUUAAAUUACUAGAUUUAGCGAGAUAUAUAUAUUUUCCACAUUGGAUUUACAAGCAUUUCGAGCAGUAUAAUGAAUUAAAAUUACUCGGAAUUGUAAACAGCGAGGAAAGUGAAAUUGCUAAGAAGAUGAAUAUUUUGUUGUUUUGUGGUGUACACGGACUCGUCCAUCGGAUAGGUCGCCCAUGAACAGAGGGAUAGAAAUGUUAUUGCCAAGAAGCAGACUGACUAGCAGUGACGCUUUGAAAAGUCCACCGGACAUCGUCUCCUCCAAGACCACCAAUAGAUUCUUCCACCAUUUCAACGUCGUGACGUGGGGAUCGGAAUUGAAUUAUAGGAUGCUUGUAAGUUUCCUUUGUGGAACUUGUGAAUUUGUGAUGGCAAAAGUCAAUGAUGCAUGUAACUAGCUAGCCCGUGUAGACUCCGUUUUACACUUUUUCAAAACCCAAAAGCACGCUAAAUCUUAAUCUUAAAAGAAUUUUUGAUUCAGUGCUGAAUUUUGGGCUUAUCUUUAAGUAAUCUUUUACCACGCAUGCAUUUUUGUCAUUGUGCAGUCAUCGAUUGCUUCUAAAGAUCGUAAUCCUUAAGAAAAAAUUACUUCUCUUGAAAGUGAAAGCAGGGCAGCUAUUGGCGUAUUGCAUUGCAGCUGCUAUGUGUAGUAGUCAAUUCUUGGAAACAACUAGUUUUCUUAAAUUGUAAACGGUCCCCUUUAUGACUGGGAGAUUUUGAACAAAAUUAAUAUGACGAAUUCUUUGCAGGUGUUGUUCCUUGAAGUCUCAUCUUUCACAAUGUUUCUGAAAUAAAGAUAUUACCAUCUCUGAUUUAAUAUUUAUUCUUGAUUUGUACCACCUAAUCUGAACUUGAUGAAAGAAUAAAGAUUAUGAUCUUGCCUGAUUUUAUUAAUGUGGUCUUAUCUCACGUAAGUCAGUAAUGAAUUAAGGAAAAUUAUCAUUCGUAUACCCUAUAAUUGCUCUGUUAUAAAAAAUACUACAACACUUUGAGGGUGUAUCAAUUGUCCACCCUAAGUUAACAAAAUGUAUCUGUCAUCCACCAAACCGUUAUUUGCCGUUUAAAUAGAAUGACACCAGAGGGGUAAUUUUAUCUUUUCAUAUGAUACAAGUGAUAAUUUAAGGGUAUACAAGUGAUAAUAAAAGAAUUUAAAGGUAUACAAGUGAUAAUUUUAUUUACUUUAAUUUAAGUUUCAAGGGUAAAAUCGUCAAUUCACUAUAAUUCCGUUAACUUUCAAACGGUAGCUAACGGUUUGGUGGUCGGCAGAUAGCUUUUGUUAAUUUAAGGUGGACGAUUGAUAUACUCUCAAAGUGUUGUAGUAUUUUUGAUAAUAGAGCAACUAUAGGAUAUAUGAUUGAUAAUUUCCCAUGAAUUAAUUAAAGUUUACUGUCAAAUUACAAACACAAAAACUGCUGCUGCUUCAUUAUUCACAAUACCUAAAGUCAGUGCAGAACUUAAUAAGUUUUCCAAAAGUUUUACGCUUUCUUUCCCCCAAAUCCCAAGUACUUACUAGAUAUGUCAUGUUUAUACCCAAAGUCAGUGCAGAACUUACUCGAUAUGUCAUGUUUACACAAGAGUUUGUUUAUAAAUAAAUGAGUUGACAAAUAUUUGCCAAAAAAAACGGUGAGUGAUGUCUAGUUCUAUUUUCACAGUUCAGAGUCCAAUUUUGAUUACUGGAAAUUUUAAUUAUGAAGUUGAACUAAGAAUUUGUUAUAAUAUCUUCAACCUUCCUAUACAGUCAUCUGGAAUAAUAAUAUAUCAAAAACAGUAAUAACUCGAUUUACAGGGUGAGAAAGAAAAGAAAGACGCUACGAGGGAAGCAGAGAUUCAAAGACUUCGCCACUUUGUUGGAGGAACAAUUUCAUAAAUCUCCAGAAUAUUGACAUAAAACACAUAACAUACAUAUCUAGCAUUAAGUAUAUUUAUGUAUGUCCAAAGAUAAAAAUUUGAAGAUUAAAUUUAUCAUUUCAAUUUAUGUUCUGCCCAAAGCAAUGGCUUUUAUUCCACAAGCACAAACAAGAAAGAGUACGCACAAAGUUAACAAACACACAUAGCAAACGUGACAUCAACCACUUGCAGCAGCAUCAUCCAGAAACUUCACUCUAAUCUUCUUGAGCUUUUCAGCGGCGUCUUUCGUAGAUGCCCCCUGUUCUGGUGAUUCCAUGCAACAAUCCAAUGCCGAAUGCAUGAUGCUUAAUAAACAAUUCAUUUUAGGAGAAAAAACUUGCUCUUCUCUCACCAAGUUUGCAUCGACAACAUCACUCAAGGCACGAGGUAAUGACUCCCUUACCCAGUCUCUUAAACUUAUUUCUCCUGUAAACAUUUCAUUUGUGGGAUUCUUUCUGGUGAAAGUUUCCAUCAAUAAAACACCAUAACAAUAGACAUCACCUUUGGCCGAAAUCAUUCCUUCUAAUCCUUACUCUGCAUUUUUUUGGUUUCGAUAGAUCAAAUGGAUGUGACAUCAUAAAACAAAUGAUAAACAAAUAGUCUUUUGACAGUCAAGAUGGCCCAAACUUUGACUGUGCUUCGAAAAGAGCGAAAAUUUGAAAUUAUAAUUGAAACCUUACCUGGUGCCAUAUAACCAGUUGUAGCCACUGUCAUGAUUUGGGUCACAGAAUUUUCUUCAUCACCUAAGAGUUCGGAAAUGCCGAACUCACAUGUGCCACCAUAUUUUCAUCCAAGAGAAUGUUGCUAGGCUUCAAAUCACAAUGAAUUACAGGUGCUGAUGAAUGAUCGUGAUGGAGAUAUUCAAGUGCCAGCCGCACAUCUAUCAUUAUAUUCAACCUCUCUAGGAUAUCUAGGAAAUAGUUGUGUGAACACAACCAUUUCUCAAGACUACCAUUGAGCAUGAACUCAAGCACCAGUACUUUAGAAUCUGGAUUGCAACAGCUGCUAGUGAUCUUUGUGAGAUCUUGAUGACGAACAUUCCACAAUACUUCACAUUCAGAAUCAAAACUCCUAAAGGCUCUCUCUAGCUGCAGAUUGAAAACCUUUAUUACAAUAAUAGUCACAUCAUAAAGUGUGCCUUUAUAAACAGAUCCGAAGCUCUCCAUACCUAGCAGGAUACAUUCACUAAAUCCAUCAGCUGCUCGUUGAAUAUCAUGAUAGGAUAGUCUUCUCCAUGUUGUCGAAGAGAACAAAUCUUCUUUAUCUGGAGUUCUUGUUUUCCUAUUUUGAAAUAUUAUGAAGAAUCAUAACAAUUGUUAUUAGUGCAUUGGAUAUAAUCGAAGGCAAAGUAUAUUUCAGGACAAGCAGAGUAGCAUUCUUGGAUCCUUUGCUAUUAUCUUCUUUGCAAGGUGGGACUUGAAGGCCUGGUGGACCACAUAGUGCAUAAUUCUCAAAAAACGAUUGAGCUGAAAUGUUUUUAAAAGGUCCUUUGAUAGGAAUUCCCCCUUCUAGCCUAUUGUGAGACACAUUAAGUUGUUUGAGAUAUGAGAGUGCCUCCAUUGACUUUGGAAUUUCUCCAGAGAGAUUGUUGCUAGGGAGAUCCAAAGAUUCCAACCUUAUCAAACUACCAAAUGAUUUAGGGACCAGACCAUAAAAUUGGUUUCUAGCCAAGGACAAAGUUGCUAGAUCUUUGAGGCCACCAAUACUUACUGGUAUAUCACCUGAUAAUUGAUUUCUUGAUAAAUCAACUCUAUUAAGACCUUUAAGUUUUGUACAUCUGAAGAUAGAUGACCACUUAGAGAAUUUGUUGACAAGUUUACAUACAAGAUGUACUCAAGAUUCCACAAGGAUGAUGGGAUACUAGAAGUGAGCGUGUUGCAGCUUACAAAGAGUGUUUUUAAGGAAUUGAAUAUCUGAAAUCUUGUAUGUAAAUAUUAACACUUAGAGAAUUUGUUGACAAGUUUUUAAGGAUUUACUGAUUAAAUAAUUUUCCAAUUUGUUUGCCUGGAGGAAUUGAAUAGUUAACUGAUUAAAGGAUUUCAAGGUGGUUAGGUCCAGCCGAGCAUUGUAAAUAUUAACGGUCAUUAUGAAUGUGUAAUUCCUAUAUGUGAAAUUGAAUUUCCAUGGUAAAUUUCUGCUAGGGUGUGAUUGUAUGGUAGCCAAUUGUGAGCAACAGAUCCACAUAGUAAUAUAGACUGAAAUUUUGCGUCUUAAGCCAUGAAGAUAUAGAUUUUGGCAAAUAUUAUACAAGCAUUGUUUGCAACACCACAGCUAAUUUGCAGUAGGAUGAAACACUCAGAAUUUUGCCUUUUUCAUGUAUAAAAUUUUAUUUUUUUAAUUGUGAUAUUACAGUUUUGCCCAUCAAGCAUUAUGAAGCUUAAUAUUUGGAUAAAUGUUAGGUUUAAUCUAUAAAUUUUAACUUCAGUGUUUAUUUAGUUUUUAUAUUUUGUAAAAUAUCUCAAGGCAGCCCUAUUAUCAAAUAUUGGCUUGAUCCGUAUAUAUUAACUUCAGUGCUUUAUUUAGGUUUUAUAUUUUGAAAAAUACUUUAAGGCAGUUCUAUUAUCAAAUAUGUUAUGCUCUUGCUUUUAUUUUUUCUUUGUUUUUAUAAUAAUACUCUGAUAACAAUAUUUUUUUACAUUAAUUUUUUAAUCAAUAAAAAGGUAACUAGCAAAUUAACUGAUAAAUUAAUUUGUUAAUUUUUUUAAUCAAUAAAAAAUUUAAUUAAUAAAUUACUUGGUAGCAAAUUAAAAAAUAAAUAUUAGCAUAAAACAAUUGAUAUUUUUCAUUCUCUUACAACAAUCUUACUAAUAAUUUUUUUAUAAAAAAUUAAUUUAUUAAAUUAAUCCUUAAAAGUAAAAUAAUAAUAAUUAAUUUGUAUCUUAGUUUUAAAGUUAAUUUGAUAAAUUCAAUUUUUUAAUUAAUAUCUCCAAAAAUAUAGUUGCAACGAUAUUAUUGCAAAAGUAAAAAAAAAAAUAUAUAUAGAAUUUUAAUAUAACUGCCAGUAAAAAUAACUUGAAAUAUUUUUUAAGAUAUAAAAAUUAAACCAACACUUAAUUAAAAAUAUAAAGAAUUAAAUAAACAUUUAUCUUCUAACAUUUCAACCUACUGGCUAAUGGUCAUACAAUCGUGGUGUGGUCCGGGAUGCCCGGCCCAGCCCAUCAUGCAAAAAGCCAUGUCACCCAUAUUCUUAGGCUGCUACUGCAUUAAAAAAAUGAUAUUAAUAAGCGUACGCCACGUCACUCCUCACUCUCUUCUUCGUCACUUUCCUCUCACUCAACAUUUUCUCCCCAAACAAAUUCCUUCUUUGAAAAAUCGCAUUUUCUCCUUCACAGCAACAGCUACAAUGUCUUCAACUUCCAAAAAGGUGAUUUUUUUUUAAUUUUAUUUUUUGUUUAGUUUCUUUCUGUUGCCUUUUUGUUUCGUUUUUUGAAUUUUCUGUGUCGUUUUUUUCCCCCAAGGUUUUGGUGCCUGUUGCGAACGGGAGUGAGCCGAUUGAGUCCGUGAUAACGAUCGAUGUUUUGAGAAGGUCUGGAGCUGACGUCACGGUUGCGUCUGUGGAGAAACAGCUCCGUGUCGACGCGUGUCAUGGUGUCAAGAUUGUCGCUGAUGCUCUCGUGUCUGACUGCCGCGACGCCGUUUUUGAUCUUAUAGCUCUUCCCGUAUGUAUUGCAGCUCUCCUCAGCUCGUGCUAAUUUAUGUGAUGUUUGUAUAAUUAUAGAUGAUUACUGCUGAUACUGAAUGUUAAGCUAAAUAAUUCGUUCUUAAGUCAUCUUCAUUUAAUUUUCGAUUGAAAAUGAAAAAAAUAAUAAUUUUAAGCAAAGAAAAAUAUAGAAAAUGUUUAUUUUGUUUAAUUUUCAAUUUUUAAUUUUCAGGGAUUUCAUUAUUGUGACUGUUAUCAUUCAUUAUAUGGUCAUAGUUAAAUGUUUCAAAUUGUUGUAGUCAGUGAAAUUCUUUUCGAUAUUUAUUCUGGCAUGUAUAUUUUUCCUUUUCAAUUUCUUUUGUUGCUGAUUCUUUGAUUAUGUUAUAUCCUUUUUUGUUUCCCUUGUAGGGUGGCAUGCCCGGUGCUACCAAUCUGAAGGAAUCUGAAGUAUUAGAAAGCAUUGUGAAGAAGCAGGCCUCAGCUGGGCGUCUUUAUGCUGCUGUCUGUGCUUCACCUGCUGUGGCAUUAGGGUCUUGGGGUCUGUUGAAGGGAUUGAAGGUAAGAGUUAGAUAAGCCUUUUUGAUGUUUUGUGGUCUUUUGGGAAUUGCACUGAUAUUUUUGUUAUGGUUCAGUUUUCUUCUCGCUGAUGAUUGUUAAGUUCUAAUUUAUGUAGUUGUUCAUUUUUCCUAGGCUACUUGUUAUCCGUCAUUUAUGGAGCAACUAGCUCCUGCUUGUGCAGCAUGUUGAAUCAAGAGUACAGCAGGAUGGUAAAGUUGUUACGAGUCGUGGACCGGGCACUACCAUGGAGUUUGCCGUUGCACUUGUUGAGCAGUUGUAUGGGAAAGAGAAAGCUGAUGAAGUUUCUGGGCCACUGGUAUUAGCUUUUAUAGAUAACGUUGUUUAAAAAAAUUAUGAGUUAUAUAAUUUGUGGAAGCUUCAGAUGCUAAUGUAUUCAAGAAAAUAAGUUCAGGGGAAGAGUAUGACUUUUUGCAUUAGUGAUUCAUUAGAUGAAAUUGUAUACCUGCUGGUCCAUCAUAAGGUGGUGAAAACAAUGUUUGAUUUAAUUAAUGAAAUCCUGAAAUAUGCAUUUGUUGAGCUUCAAUGUCUCCACUGAUAAAAUUCUUUUUAAUGUAAGUUCUUUCUCUUGGUAUUGUAUUUGAAUUUUCUGUUCCUCAUGCUUUCGUCUUUACUGUCACCUUGUGCCUAGGUAAUGCGUGCAAAUCAUGGAGAUGAAUACACUAUUGCUGAGUUCAAUCCAAUUCAGUGGACAUUUGACAAUUCUCCUCAGGUGAGAUUGGACUGUUAGUUUCUUGUAUUUGUUUUUCUUCUUCCAUGUUUUGAGGGAUACCCAUUUGGCAGUAAAUAAAAAUCUGUGAUAUCUUCUAUACAUGUACAUAUACAUCAUUGACUUCACUCAUUUGUGAACAUAUUGGAGGUAGUAGAUUUAUUGUUAUGAUAUGUCUAAUAAAAUCCAAAGUUCGAUGCAACUACAAAAGAAGUAUGAGCAGUGCUCGACCAGAGAGGAAAAAGGUGGUUUUUUUCUUUUUUUUUUUUGGGGGGGGGGGGGGGGUUGGUUGGGUGGCAAAGGGAAUGAUAAGUUCAGGGUAUCAACAAGCUGUAAAAUGGCUAUCGAAAAACUGAUAUUUCACAUUAGAGAAUGUGAGGACCUGAAGAUUGCUGACUUGUGGUCAAAAUGGAAUUCUUGAUAACUUUAAAUGUUAAAAAUUCUUGGUGAAAAUUUUGUACUUUUUUUUCUUUCAGAUUCUUGUGCCUAUUGCGAAUGGUUCAGAGGAGAUGGAAGCUGUUAUAAUAAUUGAUAUUCUGCGACGAGCUAAAGCAAAUGUUGUGGUUGCGUCAGUUGAGGAUAAACUAGAAAUUCUGGCUUCUCGUCAAGUUAAAUUAGUGGCAGAUAUGCUUAUUGAUGAGGCAGCUAAACUUUCGUAUGAUUUGAUUGUCUUGCCAGUAAGUGGGGUUGCUAACUCUUGCCUCAUAGUCUUUACCAAAUUAUUGACUUACUAGCUACAAUUUAUCUAUGCACAGGGUGGACUUGGUGGUGCUCAAGCAUUUGCGAAGUCAGAAAAAUUGGUAAAUAUGCUAAAGAAGCAAAAGGAAUCAAAUAGACCUUACGGUGCUAUAUGUGCAUCCCCAGCACUAGUGUUGGAGCCCCAUGGCUUACUCAAGGUAUGACCAUUUCUGCUUAAAUAUUUAUUCUUGAUUUGAAUCACCUAAUCUGAACUUGAUAAAACAUUGUGAUCUUGUGUGAUUUUAUGAACGUGGUCUUAUCUCAUGUAAGUCUGUAAUGAAUUUAUUGAAGUUUGCUGACAAAUUACAAACUCAAAAACUGCUGCUGCUUCAUUAGUUACAGUACCCAAGGAGUUAUGAUAGACAUCCCAAACUUUUUACCCCAAAUUCCCUCUCAAAUGACAUGGUAGUUAUUAAGUGGUUGGUAAUUUUUUAUAAGAUAUAAGUGAAUUAAUUAAUUAUAUUAUUUAAUCAACCAAUUGAUGAAUGUCACGCCAUUUGAGAUGAAUUUUUGGGAUGUGUAGCAAAACUUUAUGCUGAUUUGUUUUGGCUACAUUCAUGUAAAACAUUUUUCCCCAAAUCCCAAGAACUUCCCGCAAUAUCAUUCCUUUGUAUUUGUUUUCCCCUUUAGACAUGUUUAACUUUGGUUCAGGGUAAAAAGGCUACGGCUUUUCCUGCCAUGUGCAACAAGCUAUCAGAUCAAAGUGAAAUCGAAAACAGGGUUGUGGUUGAUGGCAACCUUAUCACCAGCAGAGGGCCAGGAACUUCCAUGGAGUUUGCACUGGCAAUUGUGGAGAAGUUUUUUGGCCGCAACAAAGCACUUGAGCUUGCAAAGAUAUUGCUUUUCACCCGCACCUAAAAUUUGUACCAGGACCCGACUAAUAUUAAACUAGAGUGUUUAUUUCUGUAUUACUACUGCUUGUAGAGAGGCGAAAUGGAAACUUGAAUUCAUGUUUGAAUAGGGAUUCACUGUGCGGGUUUGUACAAGAGCUUGUUUAUAAAUAAAUGAGUUCAUAAAGAGUCAUUUUAAAUAUUUGGAAUAAACGUGAGUUGCUGUUUAGUUCUGUUUUCAAUGUUCACCGUUCAAUUGUGAUCCAGAGCAAUAUAACUACACUCACUGGGAAUUUUAAUUAUGAACCAAGAACGAAGUUGAACCGAGAAUUUGAUACUUUAUAUAUUCCAGUUACCAUAUUUAAGAAAGAGUAUUGAAAAGAAAGACGCUAAGAGAGAAUAUUGAAGUUAAACAGAUACCAUAUCUAGUAUUAAGUCUGUAUGCCAAAGUUACAAAUUCGAAGAUCAGAUUCCUCAUUUCAAUUUAUGUUCUGCUCAAAACAAUGGCUCUUAUUCCACAAGCACAAACAAGAAAGAGUACGAACAAAGUUAACAGAGACACGCAGUGAAAAUUACGCUAAUUGGUUGCAGCAGCAUCAUCCAGGAACUUCACUUUAAUCCUCUUGAGCUUUGCUGCAGCGUCUGUCAUAUUUAUCCUCAUGUCGGGUGACUCCAUACAACAAUCCAAUGCCAAAUCCAUUAUGCUUAAUAUACAAUCCAUUUUGGCAGAAAAAGCUUGCUCUUCUCGCACCAAAUUUGCGUCAACAACUUCACUCAAUCCGUGAGGUAAUGACUCCUUUACCCAUGUCCUUAAACUCGUUUCUCCUGUGAACAUUUCAUCGGUGGGCCUCUUUCUCGUGAAAGUUUCCAUUAAUAAAACACCAUAGCUGUAGACAUCACAUUUAGCUGAAACAAUUCCUUCUGAUCCAUACUCUGCAUUUUUUUUAAUUUCAAUUAUGAAACAAAUGAUAAAACAAAUAAGUUUUUGAUAAUUAAGGUAACCCAAACUUUGCUCGUACUUGAAAAAAGAGUAAAAAUUUUAAUUACAAUUGAAACUUUACCUGGUGCCAUAUAACCAAUUGUAGCCAUUGUCAUGGUUUGUGUCACAGAAUCUUCUUCUUCACCUAAGAGUUUGGAAAUGCCGAAGUCGCUCACAUGUGCCACCAUAUUUUCAUCCAAGAGAAUGUUGGGAGGCUUCAAAUCACAAUGAAUUAUAGGUGCCGACGAAUGACCAUGAUGGAGAUAUUCAAGAGCCGACCCCACAUCUAUCAUUAUAUUCAACCUCUCUAGAAUGUCUAAGAAAUAGUUGUGAGAAUACAACCACUUCUCGAGACUACCAUUUGGCAUGAACUCAAGUACCAAUGCUUUAAAAUCUGGAUUAGAACAACUGCUAAGGAUCUUUAUGAGAUUUCGAUGACGAACAUUCUGUAAAACUUCACAUUCAGAAUCAAAACUCCUAAAUGCUCUCUCUAGUUGCAGAUUGAAAACCUUUAUCGCAACAUCAGUCCCGUCGGAAAUGGUUCCUUUAUAAACUGAUCCAAAGCUACCUGUACCAAGCAAGUUACAUUCAUUAAAUUCAUCAGUUGCUCGUUGAAUGUCUAGGUACGAUGUUCUUCUCCAUGUUGCAAGAGAUAGGAAAUCUUCGUGAUCUGAUUUUCUUGUACUUCUAUUUCGGCAUCUUCUGUACAUAAUGAUGGUAAUCACUAUAAGGACCGUGGAUACUAUCGGAGGCAAAAUAUAUUUAAGGACAAUUAGAGCAACUUUCUUGGUUCUUUUGCUGUUAUCUUGCUUGCAAGGUGGGACUCGAAGUUUAGGUGGACCACAGAGUGCAUAAUUUCCAAAAAAUGAUUCAGCUGACUAGUUUUUAAAAGACCCCUUAACAGGAAUUUCCCCUUCUAGCAUAUUUUGAGACACAUUAAAUUGUUUGAGAUGUGAAAGUGCCUCCAAUGACUUAGGAAUUUUUCCAGAGAAAUUGUUGCCGGAGAGAUCUAAGGAUUCUAAGCUUAUCAAACUGCCAACUGAUUCAGGGAUAGGUCCUUGAAAUUGAUUACUAGCCAAGGAUAGAGUUUCUAGAUCUACGAGGGCACCAAUGGUUGAUGGAAUAUUACCUGAUAAUUGAUUCCUUGAUAAAUCUAAAACUCUCAAGACCUUUAACUUUUGUACAUUGGAAGGGAGAGAAUCAUUUAAUGAAUUUGACGACAAGUUUAUCUCUAAGAUGUACUCAAGGCUCCACAAGGAUGACGGUAUACUAGAAGUGAGCUUGUUGGAGCCUAAGCGGAGUUCUCUUAGAGAUGUCAAACUCGCCAAGCAUGGCGGUAUAUGUCCAGAGAGCUUAUUUCCAUUUAACCUUAUUCCGUACAUCAACUCCAAGUGGCAAAGAUCAUAGGGAAUGGAUCCUUCCAAAUUAUUGUCUUCAAGAGAUAAACCUUGUAGCUGCUGUAAUGUUCCUACAGAUGUUGGAAUAGUUCCGUUCAAGUCAUUGAAGUCGAGGGUUAAGAGGAUCAAGCCACGUAAAUUACCAAUUUCUUUAGGAAUGCUGCCCCCGAGUUUGCACUCGUAAGCAUAAAAGCUUUGAAGAGAAGCAGAGAAAUUUCCAAUUAAUGGUGGAAGGAUGCCACCUAAUGGAUUAGAAUCUAAGACUAAAUAGGAUAGCUUUCUACAAUUAGUCAAAGAAGAGAGAAAACUCCACUGAUCUGCUGAAGAUGAUUCUGUCGUCAAGUUAUUCGUUCGUAUGCUGAGCACGUUGAGGUGCCUCAAGUUGCCAAAUGUAUUUGGUAUAUGGCCUGAGAAUGAGUUAGAGCCCAAGUCUAGACCAAUGAGUUUGGAAGCAUUGGUAAGAGAGUCAGGAAUUGUCCCGAUAAGAUUAUUGAUCGCCAAGGUUAAAUACUCUAUGUUCGGAAGCGAGUGGCCUAUCGUUGAUGGUAGGCGGCCUGAGAAUUGGUUGCUGUGUAGAUUAAGGACUCUUAUGGUUGAAAUAUUGAAGAUCGCGGGUGGAAUGAGGCCACUUAAAUUAUUCGUACCAAGAGCAAGACUCUCCAAAUUUUGUAGAUUGCCAAUCUCGGUUGGAAUUUGAUCUGUCAUAUCGAUUAAACCAACAUUGAUGAGUUAUUGAAUUUUUUGCUAAACAUAAAUUUAAUUUCAAAAUUCAUGAAAAUCAAAAUUUCCCACAAAAUAUGUGUUAUUAGUUUUAUAAUAAUUUAGGGGGUAAUGAUAUUUCUACCCCAUGAUUUUUGUAAAACACACAUGCUUUUAGAAAAUUAUUACCGCAAGAUCACAUUAUUCUUAAAAAUUCAAAUUAAGAAGAAGUUUCUAGAAUUAAUCAAUUAAAUCCAUAUUAAUUUAUAUUUGAAACUUAUAUUCUUUUAUUAUAUUUAAGUACUAAGGUUGUUUUAACAUAAAUUUAAUUGACUAUUUUACCCUCCUAAGGUAAAAGUACUAAAAUCCUCAAAAAUUUACUUCAACUAAACUAACAAAAUGUAUUUAUGACCUAUGGGGCAUUAAAAAUAUUGAAUUUUAUUUUUAAAAUAUUAUAUUACAAAACAUAAAACUAUAUGCUAGAUACUAUAGUACAUGUUUCUUGGGGUAAUAUAGUCAUUUUACAUUAUAAGGAUGAAAUAGUCAAAUUAAACUUAACUUGAAGCACCCGUAAAUGCCAAAAAUUGUUAAAAGACCUAAGUCAUAAAAGAAAAUUAUUAUCAGAAUAAUUUAUUUAGUUAAUUAUCUGACUUAUUGUUAAUUUAUAAUUUUAUAAGCUAUUGUGAACUUAUUGCAAUUAUCUAAUGGAGAUGAGGGGGGGUUUUGCAAGAAUAUGAGCGGCAGUAUUGCCACUCUAUAAAAUAAAAAGAAUUAUGCAGUCAUGCAAAUGCAAAUAUGCUGAACUUACCUUGCAGGUUGUUAUGACGAAGAUCCAAAUCAAAAAGGUUGCUCAAAUUUCCUAUCCCUGAAGGAAUAUUUCCAUCAAUAACGUUGAAACUUGCUUGUAACAUCUCCAAUUUCGAUAAGUUGAAGAGAGAAUUUGGGAUUGGACCCGUGAUAUUGUUAUUACGAAGACUCAUUAUUUGUAAUUUGGAUAAGACACCAAUCCAAGUUGGAAUGCUUCCACUCAAUUUAUUGAAACUGAAACUAAUGAAUUUGAGUCGGCCUAAUUUCCCCAAUUCAUUAGGUAGAUGGCCAUAAAAAUUGUUCAAAGUAACAUCAAGAGACAUUAGGAAUGAGAGAUUUCCCAGGUGUGGGGGAAUAGUGCCUCCGAGACCCAUGCCUGAAAGAUUUAAAGCCUUGACUCUUUGAUGGCGUGAAUCACAAGAAAUACCAACCCAGCUGCAUAUUGGAUGAGAUAUAGACCAAUUAUUUGCUAGGACACUCCGAUAAUCACCGACGUGGGCUUUGAAUGCAAGAAGAGCUGAUUGAUCUGUUAAAUUGUUUAAAGUCGUCGUAGCUAAGUUAGCUAUGGAAUAUUGUAACAACAUAGGAACAAAGAAGAACGAUAGGCGCAUAUUGGUCGUUUUUAAUAGAUACAGCAACAUAAUUGCUAGGUGAGAUUGAAACAAGUUUGAAGUGAAGGAAAUUAGCAUAUACUUAUACAAGAGACAUGAAUUUGAAAACAAGAAAAGAAAAAAUAUACAGGAGACUUGCAAACUGUUAUAUUUUGUCAUUAAGCGAGUCGUCCAAGUAAACGCACGUAUGGACUUGCAAAUUGUUAAACGUCGCUGUACUUGAACCGUAAACAAAGGGUGUGUUUGGUUGGAGGAUUAAAAGUGGGGAUUAGACACUUUUUUUUUUUUUUAAAUUUUAUCCUUAUCUCAUGUUUGGUGCUGUCAAGGGUAUUAGGAUUUAGUUAUCUUGAACUCACAAGCUAAUCUUAAUUUUGUAAAGGAAAUUAUCCCAAGAGGGGUCAUGGGAUUAGUUAGUAUUGGAUUAUAUUGAUAACUCAAUUAAACAUAAUAAUUUAUAAAUAUUAAAAUUAUAGUAAUAUGUGAUAAAUGUAAUAAAAAAAUAUUGAUUUUAAUAAUGUAAAUAAUAAAUUAUACUAAAAAUCAUUAUUAAUUUCACAUUAAAUUAAAAUUCUAUUUUACUUUAUUUAAUUAUUAAAUAUUUUUUAUAAUUCCAAAUUUACGUUAUAAAUUAAUUAUUAAAUUAGUAUUCAAAAAGAUAAAUUUUUAUAAAAUAAUAGAUUAUUGAAUAAAUAUCAUAUAAAUAUCAUAUACAUAUUUAACAAAAUAAUAAUUAUUUAAAUUAUGAUUUCUAUUUCUUUAACGUCAUUGAGGUUGAUUUGUAUAAUUAAUAAUACAAAAUUUUAGUUUAUAAUAAUAUUAAUAAUAAUAAUAACUUGUAAAUUGUAAUAUUAUAAUGUAAAACAUGAUUAUUUAUAGUCCAAUCUAAUAUUGUACCAAACACAAUAUAGUAUUAUAUAUAAUCCACUAUUAUUCAAUCCAAUUCAAUUUUAUCCAAUUUAAUCUAAUCUAAUUCAAUCAAAUCCGGCGGACCAAACCAGCCCAAAGGGUUUAUGGCCCUUUACUUACCAAACAGAAAAAGAUGCUCAACAUUGACAUCUUUGACCCAAUCCAAAUCUAAUCCAUACAUCUGCGGAUCAGAUGCAGAUUUAACCUAAUCCAUAUCCAAUCCACCAUUUUACGGAUUGGUUUGUAGACUGAAAAAUAUUAUAAGAAUAAUUUAUUAAUUGUUCAGACUUAAUUUAUAAUUCUAUAAGAUAAUGUGAACUUAUUAUAACUAUCUUAUCAAAAUGAGGUGGGAUUGCAAGAAUAAUGAGUAGAAAUAUCCCCAACCGAUAAAAUAAAAAGAAUUUUACAGCUAUACAAAUGCAAAUAUGUAGAACGUACCUUGUAGGUUGUUAUAAGCUAGAUUCAGAUACAAAAGAUUGCUAAAAUUUCCUAUCGCUGAAGGAAUAUUUCCAUCAAUGACGUUGUACGUUGCGUGUAACGCCUUCAGCCUCGAUUAAUUGAAGAGAGAAUUUGGGAUUGGACCCGUGAAACUGUUAUUACGAAGACUCAACACUUGUAAUUUGGAUAAGACGCCAAUCCAUGUUGCAAUGCUCCCACUCAAUUUAUUGAAAGUGAAACUAAUGAAUAUGAGUCGGCGUAAUUGCCCCAAUUCAUUAGGUAGAUUGCCAAGAAAAUUGUUCAGGCUAACAUCAAGAGAUUCAAAUGAAUUUUUGAUGGCGCGAACCGCAAGAAAUGCCAAUCCAGGUACACAUUGGAUAAGAUAUAGACCAAUUAUUUGUCAGGAUACUUCGAUAAUCAACGACACGGGCUUUGCAUGCAAGAAGAGCCGAUUGAUCGGUUGUUAAGAUGCAAUAGUGAGUAGUGAAAGUGGUUUGAGGUGGAGAUGCACCGGGAUCUACGGCCAUCCUGAGUUCAGCCAGAAGCAUAAUACUUGGACUCUCAUGAAAAGGUUAGCCAGCCUAUUUUCCUAUCCUUGGUGCUGUUUUGGUGAUUUUCAAUGAGAUAAUGCAUAUGCAUGAGAAAAACGGGGGCAAUGAGAGAAACCUGAAUAGGGUUGCCGAGUUUAGGGAAGCUGUGCAAAGCUGCAAUUUGCAGGAUAUGGGGUGUAAGGGAUAUCCCUAUACGUGGUCAAACAAAAGAUACAGAGAUCAUUUUAUUGAUGAGAGAUUGGACCGUUUUCUGUGUAGUAAAGAUUGGGGGAUUAAUUUUCAAGAAUCUGUAGGCACAAAUCUAGUGAACUGGUCUUCGGACCACUGCCCAAUCAUUCUAGAUUUCCAUGAGCGAAGCCAAAAUUCGAGACAUGCGGGCAAAUCUCUCCCCCGAGAUUAUUAUGAGGAUAUGUGGAGCUCCCACGAAGGCUGUAGGAGUAUAGUCCAGGAAGAGUGGAGCCGGUAUGGGGCUAGAGCUUGGGAAGCCCCUGUUCAGCAAUUUCAAUGAAUAGCCAAAUCUUCCUUGGCCCAGCUAAAACUUUAGAGCAAAACCGAAUUUCAUGGUAGGCAAAGAAAGUAAGAAAAGCUUAUGCAGAGCCUCCAGGAUGCUAUGAGAGGGAAUUCAAAGCUGGAUGAUGGCCAGGAAAUUAGGAGAUUGGAAAGUCAGAUUAACUCUAUGCUAGUUGAUGAGGAGAUUUACUAGAAACAGCGUUCGAGGGCCGACUGGCUUAGAGAAGGGGAUAAGAACACGAAGUAUUUUCACGCCAAAGCAUCUGCCCGCAAAAGGAAGAACAAGGUGUGGGGGAUUGAGAAUGACCAGGGCAUUUGGUUGAAGGAAAGGGAUGAAAUAGAGGAGGAGAUUUGCAGCCAUUUCCAAAAGCUUUUCACUACUUCCAGCCCGACUCCAAGCCAAAUCCAAGCAACCCUUCAAGGCAUGACAACAAAAGUAACUCCGGAGAUGAAUGUUCAGCUGGAGAAGCCGUUCACCGCUGAAGAUGUUGAGGAAGCCCUUGCCAACAUGUGUCCCACAAAGGCCCCAGGGCCUGAUGGUCUUCCAGCUGCCUUCUUCCAGAAGCAUUGGAAAUCUGUCCGUAACAGAGUGAUCUCAACGUGCCUUAAUGUCCUUAAUGAGCAAGGUAACCCAUCUACCCUCAAUCACACCUUUAUAGCUUUGAUUCCAAAAAUUGCAAAUCCUAGGAAAGUGAGUGAUUAUAGACCUAUCAGCCUCUGUAAUGUUAUUUAUAGAGUUGUAGCUAAGGCCAUUGCAAAUAGAAUGAAGCCGAUCUUUUCCCAAAUCAUCUCCCCUAUGCAAAGUGCAUUCAUCCCCAAUAGGCUCAUUACCGACAAUGUUAUUAUUGGUUAUGAAUGCCUUCAUAAAAUUAGGCAUAGCAAAGGGAAGAAGAACGGACUUGUAGCUUUAAAAUUGGAUAUAAGUAAGGCUUAUGAUAGAGUUGAGUGGCCUUUUUUGGAACAAACUAUGCUAAAGAUGGGGUUUCCUAGUAAUUGGGUAGCUCUGAUAAUGAGAUGUGUUAUUUCCACUUCAUUCUCGGUGCUAAUUAAUGGUGUGCCAAAAGGAAUGAUCCAGCCAAAAAGAGGCUUGCGACAGGGCUGCCCGCUAUCCCCGUACCUUUUUAUCCUUUGUGCAGAGGCUCUCUCCAAUUUGCUGGUUGUGGCAGAACAGAACCAGCUAAUCCAAGGGCUCAAAUUUGCGCGGGAAGUUUCAAUUACGCACUUGCUGUUUGCGGACGAUAGCUUGGUAUUCUCUCGUGCAUCAGUGGCUGAAUGCAGGCAUUUAAAAGAAAUGUUUGAUAAAUAUGCUGCAGCAUCAGGGCAGAUUUUUAAUUUUCAGAAAUCCUCACUGUUCUUCAGUGGAAAAAUUCCAGAGCAUCAACGGGCUGCUAUAAGGGGUAUCUUUAAUCUAAAUGUAGUCUCAAAGCAUGAGAAAUACCUUGGCCUACCAUCAAUGAUUGGGAGAAAGAAGAUGGGGUUCUGUAACGACAUCAAGCUGAAAGUGUUGAACAAGAUUGCAGGAUGGCAGCAUAAAAUGUUGUCUAGUGGGGGGAAGGAAGUUCUGAUCAAAGCGGCAGCCCAAGCAAUUCCGGCGUAUGCAAUGAGUGUUUUCAAGCUCCCAAGAGGCUUUUGUGAUGAUAUUCAGCGAGCUAUAGCGAAGUUCUGGUGGGGCUCGAAAGGGGAUAAGCACGGAAUCCAUUGGCGAAAAUGGGAGAAGCUCAGCCAGGCAAAGAUUAGAGGGGGGCGGGGAUUUCGAGAGUUUUCUUGCUUCAAUCAAGCGCUGGUAGCUAAGCAAGCUUGGAGGUUACUGCAGUACCCAAAUUCGCUGGUCUCCAAAGUCCUUCAAGCAAGAUAUUUCAGGAAUUCCAGCUUUUUAUGUGCAAAGGCAGGAGCCAAUGCCUCGUAUAUUUGGAGAAGCAUCAUGUGGGGUAGGCAGGUGAUUAAGAAGGGUAUGAGAUGGCAGAUAGGUAAUGGCAAGAAGGUAGCAAUUUUCUCGGAUAACUGGCUGCCAAGACCAGAGACCUUCAGACCUAUCUUCCCUCCAUCUUUGCCCGUAAGCUCAGUUGUUGCAGAUUUAAUUAAGGCUGAUAAUCAAUGGGAUGAAAUAAAGCUUCGACAGCACUUCAUGGAUGUAGACACAGCAGAGAUCCUCAAGAUUCCCCUCCCAACUGAGAAAGAAGAAGAUGGAGUGCUUUGGGAUUACGACAAAAGAGGGAACUACUCUGUCAAGAGUGGGUAUCAGCUAGCAUUGAGAUCAAAAUUUCCAGAUUCCACCAGCUGCACAGAGGCUUCCCACAAGUACUGGAGUGCCCUUUGGACACUGGAGUUGCCUGCGAAGCUUAAAAUUUUCAUGUGGAGGGCCUCUAAUAAUCUGCUUCCAUCGGUGGAAAAUCUGUGGAAAAGGAAGGUAGUGGAGGAGCCAACUUGUAAGCGAUGCAAACUGAGUGUUGAGACUAUCAGCCAUGCUCUCUUGGAGUGUAAGGUAGCGAGAAAAAUUUGGCUCCAAUCCCCCUUUUCAGGCCUUAGAUUAGAAGCCAAUUCUCAGGACAUUUUCAGCACUUUGCAAAAUAUGGCUAAGGAGAUGAGGAAAUCAGAUCUGGAAUUAAUGGUAGCUCUGUGUUGGUCUGCCUGGUAUGCUAGGAACAAAUGUAUCUUCGAUGGCAGGGAGAUUAAUCCUAUUAUAUCAGCUGCUAAAGCGGAGUCUGUUUUGUCAGCUUUUCAGAGAGUUAGGAAGCCCCAGCAAGCUCACAUCUCUAUCUUCAUAAAAGAGAAGCAGCAGGAGUGGCUCCCCCCUCCCCCGAAUGUUUUUAAAGUUAAUGUGGAUGCUGCUCUUAAUUCAAAGAAUCUGAGUGCAGGAGUGGGAACUGUGAUUAGAGACUCUAAUGGAAAGAUAGUUGCGGCUGGGGUAAAUCAGAACCUCCUAAAGGGGUCAGCUAGCUUGGCUGAAGCAGAGGCGGUGCUUUGGGGCCUUCAGCUGGCGAGAAAGGCGGAUGUAUCCUCUUUGAUUAUUGAGUCUGAUUGUUUAGAGGUGGUCCAGCUAGUGAACAACACCAAGGGCAGCAGAUCAGAAAUUUUUUGGACAAUUCUGGCAAUCCAAAACCAGAUGAAGAACUUCCAGAAAGUGGUUGUCAAUCACAUUCCAAGACAUUGUAAUGCUUGUGCCCAUUACCUAGCUAAGAUAGCUUUGGGGAAAAUCUCUCCCUGUAUGUGGCUGGGAAAUAUUCCAGCUGAAUUGUAUGGUAUUAUCAAGGUGUUGUGAUUAAUGAAAGGUUUACUUUCUUUUCAAAAAAAAGAAGAAUGAUAAGCGCAUAUUGGUCUUUUUUUUUAGAUGCGUCCAUCUAAUUGCUAAGUGAAGUUGAUACAAGUUUUAAGUGAAGGAAAUUAGCAUAUGCAUAUACAAGAGGCGUAUGAAUUUUGAUAACAAGAAAAGAAAACAAUAUACAGGAGAGUGGAGGCUUGCAAAUUGUUAUAUUUCAUUAUUUAGCGAGUCGUCCGAGUAAACGCGUAUAGACUUUUAAAUUGUUAUACGCCGCCGUACUUGAACCGUGAAUAAAGGGCUUAUGGCACUUGAGUUACCAAAAAGAAGAAGAUGCUCAACAUUGGCAAGGCCUAUGCAUUCUGUCCAUUUGUUCACGUUUUGCCGAGGCUCAUGGCAACCACAAUAUGUUCUUUUUCUUUCCUCUAAAAAACAAAAAGACGACCUUCACAUUUGGGCUAAUAAUUAUCACUAAACAAUUAAUAAUGCUGAGGGCUAGUGGUAAUGUAGCUUUAAAAUAAUUGUUAUUAGUUGCGCCUUAAAAAUAAAGAAAUAAAGAUAGUUAUACUAUACCCCCACAAUUUAAUAAAAUAAUCAUGUAAAUUUCUAAACUUUUAACAAUAUACACCAAGACCCCUUAUGUUACUUUUUACCAUUUAUUUGGAUGUCACAUGCUUUUUUUUUUUUUUUUUUAAAUUUUUCACUGCAGAAAUUAAAUGCUAAAUUUACUGUUAUUCCCAUAUCAUGUCAUCGCUUGCUUCUACACAUAUUGAUUGUUUUUCCAAAGUUUAAAAUUGAAUUAAAAACAUUCUAAUUAACCUAAAAAUUAAAAAAAAAACUCAUCCAACCAGAUAUAAAUCUUCUAAUUAACCUAAAGAUAAGCUACACCCCCAUAUUAAUUCCAAUUAAAUAAAUCUUCAUUUUUGUCAUGGUUUUGGAUCUCGAGCAGGGUGGAUACAUCCAACCAGAUCCGCCCCAUUGGCAUUCCAAUAUAUUAUGGAAUUGGAAGAGUAUCAAUGACUUAAUUUGUAAUUUUAAAUUUGUAACGUAUAAUUCUAAUUUAAGGAUUCAAAUUAAUUUAUGCGGAUCUAAAAGGGGACUGAUGAUGGGCAUGCAUACAUACAUGCAUACAUAUAUUUACAUAGAGAGAGAGAGAGUGAGGUAAUAUAACAUUCUUCUUGAUGAAGAUUUUUGUGCCAUACGCAUUAAAGAGAGUAUUGUGUCGAUGUUGGAGGCUAGAGGGACAAGUGGUUACAUUGCUUCAGAGGUGUUUAGUAGAAACUUUGGUGAGGCAUCACAUAAUUUAAACUACUAGAUUUAGCGAGAUAUAUAUAUUUUCCACAUUGGAUUUACAAGCAUUUGGAGCAGGAUAAUGAAUUUAAAUUACUCGGAAUUGUAAACAGCGGAAAGUGAAAUUGCUAAGAAGAUGAAUAUUGUUGUUUUGUGGUGUAUACGGACUCGUCCAUCGGAUAGGUCGCCCAUGAACAGAGUGAUAGAAAUGUUAUUGCAAAGAAGCAGACUGACUAGCAGUGACGCUUUGAAUAAAUCCACCAAACAUCUUCUCCUACAAGACCACCAAUAUAUUCUUCCACCAUUCAACGUCGUGAUGUGGGGAUCAGAAUUGAAUUAUAGGAUGCUUGUAAGUUUCCUUUGUGGAACUUGUGAAUUUGUGAUGGCAAAAGUCAAUGAUGCAUGUAACUAGCCGGCCCGUGUAGAGGCCGUUUGACUCAUAAAUAUUUGUCACUUUCACUCUUUUUCAAAACCCAAAAGCACGCUAAAGCUUAAUCUAAAAAGAAUUUUUGAUUUAGUGCUGACAUUUUGGGCUCACCUUUGAGUAAUGUUUUACCACGCAUGCAUUUAUGUCAUUGUGCGGUCAUCCUUUACUUCUAAAGAUCGUAAUCUUUAAGAAAAAAUUACUUCUUUUGAAAGUGAAAGCAGGCCAGCUAUUGGCGUAUUGCAUUGAAGCUGCUAUGUGUAGUAGUCAAUUCUUGGAAAGAACUAGUUUUCUUAAAUUGUAAAUGGUCCCCUUUAUGACUGGGAGAUUUUGAACAAAAUUAAUAUGAUGAAUUCUUAGCAAGUGUUGUUCCUUGAAGUCUCAUCUUUCACAAUGUUUUUGAAAUAAAGAUAUUACCAUCUCUGACUAAAGAUUUACUCUUGAUUUGGACCACCUAAUCUGAACUUGAUGGAUGAUUAUGAUCUUGCCUAAUUUUAUGGAUGUGGUCUUAUCUCACGUAAGUCAGUAAUGAAUUAAUUAAAGUUUACUGUCAAAUUAUGAACUGAAAAACUGCUGCUACUUCAUUAUUCACAAUGCCCAAAUUCAGUGCAGAACUGAUUAUAAGUUUUCCGAAAGUUUUACGCUUUCUUUCCCCCAAAUCCCAAGUACUUCCUGUAAUAUCAUUCCCCUAUAGAUGUCUUCCCCUGAGACAUUUUUAACUUUGGUUCAGGGUAACAAAGCUAUAGCUUUUCCUGUCGUGUGCAACAAGCUAUUAAAUUAGAGUAUUUAUUUCUGUAUUACUACUAGUAGUAAGAGAGGCGAAAUGGAAUCUUGAAUUCAUGUUUAUACAACAGUUUGUUUAUAAAUAAAUGAGUUGAUAACAAGUCAUUUUAAAUAUUUGCAAAAAAAAAAACGGUGAGUGAUGUCUAGUUCUAUUUUCAAUGUUCAGAGUCGAAUUUUGAUUACUGAAAAUUUUAAUUUAUGAAGUUGAACUAAGAAUUUGUUAUAAUAUAUUCCACCUUCCUAUACAGUCAUCUGGAAUAAUAAUAUAUCAAAAACAGUAAUAACUUGAUUUACAGGGUGAGAAAGAAAAGAAAGACGCUACGAGGGAAGCAGAGAUUCAAAGACUUCGCUACUUUGUUGGAGGAACAAUUUCAUAAAUCUCCAGAAUAUUGACAUAAAACACAGAACAUAUCUAGCAUUAAGUAUAUUUAUGUAUGUCCAAAGAUAAAAAUUCGAAGAUUAGAUUUAUCAUUUCAAUUUAUGUUCCGCCCAAAGCAAUGGCUUUUAUUCCACAAGCACAAACAAGAAAGAGUACACAAAGUUAACAAACACACAUGUUGAUGCGAGAUUCUGGUUGUCCUCGUUCUACGACCAGGGUCUCUGCUCGAUCAACUUCACCACGACCAGGAUCUCUCCUCGUAAAGCUUCUUCUCCAGAGGUUCCUGCGCACACAGACAGGUCAGAGUACGCCGGUUUUUUUCCCGGCGCAAACCCUCCAACGCUCAAGUCAGAAAUAGGGGUUCUGGGAAUGUUUGCCACGAAUCUUAUGGCUUCUUUUUAAUCUCAGUUCUCGGAACUUUCUUUUCUUAGUUCUAAUAGCAAAAAGUCUAACCCUUUUACCUUUGCUGGCUACUUUUUUAUAGGCUUCCUCUGAAUCCCGGUCUUCCGUAGUCCACGCCCAUUACUCUUCCCACCCUCGGAUGUGGAUGCCCCAUUGUCGUCAUUGUGGGCGAAUGGAGAUGGACUUCGUGCCUUGAUUCUCGGAUAGGAACGCACGUCUUGCCAACUGUCGUUGACCGGGUCUCCUCGCCUCGACCCCUAGCAGGAAUGGCCUUAUGCCUCUAACAGGAGUUCGUCCUCGUGAAUGGCAUAUUUGUGGACGAGCAGAAUAUUCCUGCUCCUGUUCCCUUGCUACCAGGCUCUUACAGGACAUACCUGUUCGCAGAACUCUGCCACCAAAUAUAUGCUCAUCAUGUCUGGUCUCGUCGAAGUAUUUCCCUCAAACACCGGUCCCCCAGUUUCUGGUGUUGGGUAAUGUAAUGGACCAGCAGUAGAAACUCAACAGUUCUUGCUCGCGUGAGACUUGAAAAGGCUGCCAAGAGUCGUGUCGCAUUUAAUUGCGGAUGCAGUGAUGUGGCAGAAAUCUACCCCUUCGUUUGAAUUUCAAACCUACGGUUGCAAGAUUCUCAGAAUCUGCGUCAUUAAAUGCUGGCAGCCCAAAAGUUUGCUUCUCAGUAAGAAAACCCAAAAUCCUCAAACACGAACUCGUCAUUUUCUCCAUUCCUGUCUCUCCGGCUAAUGAACCUCGGCAUUAAAGCUUUCAUCCCUGUCUCUCUCUGAGCGAGUCCCUGCUUCAGGUAUUUCUUCUAUCUUCACGGUCUCGGUUAGUUGUAGAUAAUUUCUUUUCUCUUUGCUUUGCUUGGGGUAGUAUCUGGUAGUGGUGUUUUGGUUAUAACCUAGGGAAUGUCGAAGGGUAAGGAGAAAGUCGUUGAUAUUGAUGACGACGAACUAGGUUUCUUGCCUAGUCUGCUCACUGAUUCUGCUUUUGGCCCCGGGAUCCCCUUAGAGCCCACUAGGUCUAGUGUUGGGACUAGCGCUAGGAGGAUGUCCCCCCAAACAACCUCCACGAGCGGAAGUAGUGGCGAGGAGGGACCUUCUGGCUCGGAAGACACCCUAAGUGAGGAUCAAUGAGGUGACUCUGGUGAGGGAUCUUCACCGGGAACACUGCGACCAGAAGGGUGUAGUACAGUAGGAGGUAGAGCCUUGUCGCGGGAUUAUGCUAUUGAUUACAUGACCUGCACGACCACAUUCAACGAGCUGGAUGACCUCCGGCUCAGGUAUCAUAUUCCUGGUGAGGUACUCCUUAGGAUCCCAGGAAAGAAAGAUAGUCUUAGCAGGCCUCCUAGGGGAUUUGUCACCUUGUUCUUGGAGAGUUUUAAGUACGGGCUAAGGUGCCCCUUGCAACUCUAUUUUGCUCGCAUACUCCACGGGCUCAAUCUAGCUCCUGGUCAGUUGAACCCCAAUGGGUGGAGGGUGCUCUUUGGUCUGUUCAUAUUGUGGGACAGAUGUUGCCAAAGCGAGCCCACGGUUGAUGAGGUGAAGCACCUGUACCAGCUAAGGAGUAGCCCCAAAGAUGCCGGCUGGUACUACUUCCAAUCUAGUACCAAGAGUAGGAAACCCAUAACUGAUCUUCCAACUGGUGGUGGUGGGACUUGGAAGAGGAAAUUCUUUUUUGCUGGGGGUCCUUGAGGUCAAGUUGCACAAAUAGACGGGAAGGAUUGUCGCGUCCCACCCCGUUUCACGGUCCCAGGUUGCCUGCUCACUUUAGAUGUCUUGUAUCCAUAAUUGUUCUUACUUUAUUGGUUUGUCUCUAACCAAGUGUCUGUUUGUGUUGUAGUUUCUUGGGGUGUUCAUUUUCCGCUCAAACCUGAUCAGCUCAAACGGGUCGAGGCUGUACUAGCCAACUCCUGCCCGAGCCGAGAACUGAUAACUAUUUAUAACUUCCUCGAGUCUCGCUUGGUACUCCCUGGCCAUAAGAUGGAGGACGCUGUGAUUGGGGCUCUGAACAGGAAACGUUCUCGACCUCAAAACACGAAGAGGGACCAGAACAAGGACGCCCCUAGGGCAAAGCGGACCAACAUCGUGCAGCAAGUCUCUCCCUUGAAGACUUUACCUCCUGCUCCUGCCAAAGUCAGCGAAACUAGUGGAGCAGCCACAGAUCCUGCUUCCUCUUCUCCUCCUGUCGGGCCUCGAUCUCGCUUUCCUGACAGCCGAGCAGAACACUUGGUCCCCUAUCUCAAUGAGUUAUCUAAACUCGUGAGCAAGAAGGACCUGGAGGACUUUAAUGGCUGCACCCUGGGCGAGCUGGUAGGAGCCAUGCAGUAUAGUGCUUUCCAUCUCAGCUGCAUGACCACCUAUUAUAAGGCUAAGGUUGGCCGUUAUGACAGGAAGAUGAAGGAGGACAUUCAAUCAGCGAUGACCAGAGCUGACGCCGCCGAGAAGAAAGCAGGAGAGCUAAAUGUCGAGAACCUGAAGCUGAUAGAGCAAGAAUCUCUUGCUCAAGCAAAAGCCAUUACCCUCGAGGAGGAGCUGACCAAGGUCAAGGAGGAUCUUCAAAGGCAGAAGGCAAUGUAUGAGGCUCAGCUCGAAUCUCUCCGCGAUUCCCAUCGAGCUCAGGUCGAGAACUUGGAGAAGGAGGCCGACAACCAGUACGACCAGGGACUUCGGCAUUCCUAUCGUUGCAUCAUGGCCGUCCUCGGGAAGCAGCAUCCUGAUCUAAAGAUGGACGACCUUGCAGCUGGUGUCGCCCAACAUAUGGACGAGGAGGCUGCAAAGGAGGAUGCCGAAGGGGUAGACGCAAUCGUGAUUGAGGAGGAAAACUCUCCUCCUCAUGUAGACCCUGCUGACGUUGGCGAGGCGAGCACCCCCCCGGACGCAACUGGUGAUACCCCCCCUGCACCUGAGGAGGUCCAGCCAACCGAUGCUGCUCGGCAUACUGAUCCGCCAUCUUCUUGAACUUAUCUUGUGCUGUAAUUGCUUUUUGAAUAUUCUAUAUAACAGCUUUGUAAACUUUUAAGAGCUUAAUAAGAUUGUUCUUAUUUGCUUCCUCGCAUUGGUAUUUUAAUUUAUUUAUCUAUUUGGCUUCUGUCCUCGUCACAGAGGAGGCCUUGAAGUUUGACGAGCCUUUGCCUGUCUUGGAUAAUUUCUUCAAUGAUUGGGAUUCUGCUCGCCUUCGCGUGGUCGAGCAGAUCCUGGCACGCUUGGCUUUUGGUCUCGCCAUAAACAGGCUUUGAGACUCGACGAGCCUUUGCAUGCCUUAGUUUCUUCAAGGAUUGGGAUUCUGCUCGCCUUCGUGUGGUCGAGCAGAUCCUGGCACGCUUGGCUUCUGGUCUCGCCAUAAACAGGCUUUGAGACUUGACGAGCCUUUGCAUGCCUUAGUUUCUUCAAGGAUUGGGAUUCUGCUCGCCUUCGCGUGGUCGAACAGAUCCUGGCACGCUUGGCUUCUGGUCUCGCCAUAAACAGGCUUUGAGACUCGACGAGCCUUUGCAUGCCUUAGUUUCUUCAAGGAUUGGGAUUCUGCUCGCCUUCGCGUGGUCGAGCAGAUCCUGGCACGCUUGGCUUCUGGUCUCGCCAUAAACAGGCUUUGAGACUUGACGAGCCUUUGCAUGCCUUAGUUUCUUCAAGGAUUGGGAUUCUGCUCGCCUUCGCGUGGUCGAGCAGAUCCUGGCACGCUUGGCUUCUGGUCUCGCCAUAAACAGGCUUUGAGACUUGACGAGCGUUUACAUGCCUUCAAUUCUUCAAGGAUUGGGAUUCUGCUCGCCUUCGCAUGGUCGAGCAGAUCUUGGCACGCUUGGCUUCUGGUCUCGCCAUAAACAGGCUUUGAGACUUGACGAGCCUUUGCAUGCCUUCAAUUCUUCAAGGAUUGGGAUUCUGCUCACCUUCGCGUGGUCGAGCAGAUCCUGGCACGCUUGGCUUCUGGUCUCGCCAUAAACAGGCUUUGAGACUUGACGAGCCUUUGCAUGCCUUCAAUUCUUCAAGGAUUGGGAUUCUGCUCGCCUUCGCGUGGUCGAGCAGAUCCUGGCACGCUUGGCUUCUGGUCCCGCCAUAAACAAGCUUUGAGACUUGGUGAGCCUUUGCAUGCCUUUGAUAAUUUCUGGAAAGCUUAGGAUUCUGCUCACCUUCUCGUGGUCGAGCAGAUCCUGGCACGCUUGGCUUCUGGUCUCGCCAUAAACAGGCUUUGAGACUUGGUAAGCCUUUGCAUGCCUUUGAUAAUUUCUUGAACAGUGUAGUUGAUUCAAACUCCUCAUUGAUUCAUUUAUUAUUGAAUUCGGCUUACAUGAGGUUGCUUUGAAAUAAGAAAUAAAAAAAUAGAAAACAACAGACAUGAACAGAAAAAAAACUUUAAAACAUGAGUAAGUCUUACUAGAAAUAUUUCCUGAGGUGUGCCGCGCUCUAGGGGCGUUUCACCUCGUGGCCCUCCGUGCGAACCAACUUGUAAACUCUGGGUCCAACUAGCUGCCAUUCCUGGCUUCCACUCGGGUAUCAAAGGAUGUUAUCUGCAUUGCUUCCUUUGUUGCCGAGGAGUAACAGCUUCGUGCGAUUCUCUGGUCUCCUCGUACCACUCCAACUACCCCAUUCACCCGGUACUUGAGAGCCAGAUAAUGGUUGGACAGCACCGCUUUGCUCAUCCUCAGAAAUGGCCGGCCUAGGAUCAUCUGAUAAGGACCUUCCUCAUCCACUACCACAAAGUCCAGUAUCAUUGUCCUUUCUGUCGGGGAGCUCCCAAUCGUGAUAAGUAGCUCGACCACGCCCAGAGGGACCAACUUUCCUCCUCCAAACCCCUUCAAGGAGGUAUUGGUGUAAUCCAACUUCAGGUCUGCUAUUCCCAUUUCCUCCAGGGUUGACUUAAACAACACAUCAACUGAGCUCCCUGUGUCAACCAGUAUCCUGUCAAACUUCUUGCUGGCAACAGUGGCCUUGAUGACCAAAGCAUCCUCGUGGGGGUAUAGAAUCCCUUCUUCAUCCUCAUCUGUCCACAUGAUUGGCACUUGCCUGACUCUUGCACAUUUGGCUGCUGGGGUGUUGAAGAAUACAUCUUUGCUGGUCAUGGCGUAUCUAGCGUAAUUCUUCCUCGACCUGUUGGAAUCUCCGGCCAAUGUUGGGCCCCCAGCUAUCACCCUUAGUGCAGGAUGCUCGCGCCUCAGGUUUCUAUCACUCUGCUCCCCUUCAUAUGUCGAGGCCACCAUCGGGAAAGUCCCAUCUACAAACUCGUCCAGGUACCGAUUUCUCACCAAAUCUUCAACCUGGGUCUUGAGAUCUCUGCAUUCUGCGGUGGUAUGGCCAUGAGUGCCAUGGAACUUACAAUGGCGUCCCCUAUCCCUCCUGCCGGGUAGCUUUGUUAUUGGGGCAGGGAGGUACAGCAGUCCUCGGUCCUUUAUGGCCUCGUAUACUUCAUCUAGGGACAUCUUCAAGGACGUGUAUCGCCCAUACUCCUGGUUCUGGUCGAUCAGGUGCACGGCCCUUUCUCUAUUUGCUCCGUUCUGAGUUGGAGGCGAUGACAGCAUUUCUGGUCUGCUCCCUCUACUACCGUGGGAGUGUUGAUGAAGACCACCAUAUGUCGAAUCAUGCCUUCUCCAAGGCUCCCUAGCUGGGGAACGAGGAGGGUGCGCCCUGCUGCGCUGAUACUGUGGUGGCCUCUGAUGAGGCUGGUGAGCUGUUACCCGACCUCCUGCUCCACUACCUGAGGCCUGGAGGUCCCUCCUCCUGAUCGGCCAAUUUCCCAGUAAUGCCCUCUUUUCUUUCUUUUCCAACCCCUCCAGCUGGUCUGUCUUAAUCCGAGCUGCCUUUUCUUCCUCGAUCUCUAUGUCUCUUUUAGCUUGCUCGUAUGCGGCUGCAUACGUCUGAAUAGCUGGGCUUCUCAAGUUGUACCACAGCCUUCCUAUCUUCACUCCCUCUUUCAAUCCCCUUAGUGCCUGAGGAUGGUCGAAGGCUCCCAAAUCGAGGACAGCACGAUGAAACCUCUUGAUGAAUUCCCGAAGAGUUUCUUGUUCCCCUUGCUUCAUGCUUUUCAACUCCAUCAUGUCAUCUUCUAGUGCCAUUGCCCCACGAAACUGCUCUGCAAACUCCUGGCACAUCUGCUCGAAGGUUUUAAUGCUCCUCCCCCGAGGAAGUUUUCUGUACCACUCUCGUGCACGUCCCUCAAGGGAUAGUGGGAACACCCUGCCUGCACCUUUGGGAUUGAGAUAAUCCUUGUACCCCAAUUAUGUCGUUGAAGCGCUCUAUGUGCACCAGCGGAUCUGUUCGUCCCGAAUAUCUAAGGUCUGGGAGGCGGAAAUCUCUCGGAAUAACUGCCCUCAUGAUCUCUGCUGCGAGCGGUGAUUCUCCAUCUAGCAUUAUCCUCCAACCAGGAGCUCUGCUCCUUCCUUGCAUGUCGUCAAUUAUCUGCGCUAGUCUGCGCACUUCCUCCUCCAGCUGCACUGCACGACCAGGGUCACGUGCUGCAACUUGAUCCCGCUCUUGCUCUACAUCAAGCAAGUGUUGCCUCAACUCUGUUUCCUCUGCAUUUGCCACCCCGUCGUCCUCGUCAAAAAUCUGUCUUGCCGGGAAUUGCUCUUCCUCUCUACGGAAUUCUCCCCGCAGAGGUAUGUUACCUCUCUCACCACCAAAUCUCCCGGUGGUUUGACUUCUCCUCGUACUAUCGGGACCUAGUGCCACUCCACCAACUCUCAUCCUUUCCUCCUGGGUUACCCUUCGUUCACUCCGCAACUCAUGCAGGAUGGUUGUCAGGGUCUCCAUCUGCUUUUCCAUUCGUUCCAUUCGGUCGAACAUGGCUUUUUCCCGUGCUUCACUGGCUAUCUCCCUCAGAGUCACGGAAUCGUUAAGCCUCAUAUCACCCCCUUGUGCACUACUUCCUCCUGUCUCCAUUGCUUUUCACUUGCUUCACUCCUCUUCUUGCUAUCAACAGAAGCUUUUUGAUCAGCUCCCCACAGACGGCGCCAAAAUAUUGAUGCGAGAUUCUGGUUGUCCUCGUUCUACGACCAGGGUCUCUGCUCGAUCAACUUCACCACGACCAGGAUCUCUCCUCGUAAAGCUUCUUCUCCAGAGGUUCCUGCGCACACAGACAGGUCAGAGUACGCCGGUUGUUUUCCCGGCGCAAACCCUCCGACGCUCAAGUCAGAAAUAGGGGUUCUGGGAAUGUUUGCCACUAAUCUUAUGGCUUCUUUUUAAUCUCAGUUCUCGGAACUUUCUUUUCUUAGUUCUAAUAGCAAAAAGUCUAACCCUUUUACCUUCGCUGGCUACCUUUUUAUAGGCUUCCUUUGAAUCCCGGUCUUCCGUAGUCCACGCCCAUUAGUCUUCCCACCCUCGGAUGUGGAUGCCCCAUUGUCGUCAUUGUGGGCGAAUGGAGAUGGACUUCGUGCCUUGAUUCUCGGAUAGGAACGCACGUCUUGCCAACUGUCGUUGACCGGGUCUCCUCGCCUCGACCCCUAGCAGGAAUGGCCUUAUGCCUCUAACAGGAGUUCGUCCUCGUGAAUGGCAUAUUUGUGGACGAGCAGAAUAUUCCUGCUCCUGUUCCCUUGCUACCAGGCUCUUACAGGACAUACCUGUUCGCAGAACUCUGCCACCAAAUAUAUGCUCAUCAUGUCUGGUCUCGUCGAAGUAUUUCCCUCAAACAACACAUAGCAAACAUGACAUUAACUACUUGCAGCAGCAUCAUCCAGAAACUUCACUAUAAUCUUCUUGAGCUUUUCAGCGGCAUCUUUCGUAGAUGCCCUUUGUUUUGGUGACUCCAUGCAAAAAUCCAAUGCCGAAUGCAUGAUGCUUAAUAAACAAUUCAUUUUAUUAGUACAUUGGAUAUAAUCGAAGGCAGAGUAUAUUUCAGGACAAGUAGAGUAGCAUUCUUGGAUCCUUUGCUAUUAUCUUCUUUGCAAGGUGGGACUUGAGGUCCUGGUGGACAACAUACUGCAUAAUUCUAAAAAAAUUAUUGAGCUGAAAUGUUUUUAAAAGGUCUUUUGAUAGAAACUCCCCCUUCUAGCCUAUUGUGAGACACAUUAAGUUGUUUGAGAUAUAAGAGUGCCUCUAUUGACUUUGGAAUUUCUCCAGAGAAAUUGUUGCUUGGGAGAUCCAAAGAUUCCAACCUUAUCAAACUACCAAAUGAUUUGGGGAUUAGACCAUAAAAUUGGUUUCUAGCCAAGCUAGAUCUUUGGGGCCACCAAUAUUUACUGGCAUAUCACCUGAUAAUUGAUUUCUUGAUAAAUCUAACUCUAUUAAGACCCUUAAGUUUUGUAUAUCACUUGAUAAUUGUUUGUAUUGGGCCUUCUAUUUUCAUUAUAGAAUAAAUUAACUAUUAAUUUUCAUGAGAAAAAUACUUAUUUCCAUAAAAUUAUUCAAGCUUUUAAAAAGAUUUAGAAUUAAAAAUCAAACUUUGUACUGUAGAAAAUUUGCCGGUACGUUCAAUUAGUACUUUGUUUGAGGAAAUAAGAUUAGAAUAGGCUAUAGGUACGGUAGUUAUGCGGUACCUGUUUAAUAACCGUAGUAUAGUAAAUGUUUGACUUUUUUAUUAGAAAUAUAUCAUUAACAAUUUUGUUCGCUAAUUGAAUAGAGAAAGAAAGGGGGGGUGGGGGGGGGGGGAGGGCAAAAAGGUUAACACAUUUCGAAACUACAAACGAUUGCCUUUUCCUAUUAAUAAUGUUUGCGGAUUCUAACAAUUGAAUCUCAAGGUCAUUACAUAGUGAAUUUUAUAGUUAAUAAAAUUAAUAUUCCACAUACUAUCUACUCAAUUAAUGUCACAUUUUUUGAAACUUGAAUGAUCUAUUUGCUACAAUUAGGAGCCAACGUCGUAAUGAAUGUUAAAUUAUGCUGUUUGUUUUGAUUUACUUUUCUAUCUUAGCUCCAAGUGAUUAGCGGAAUGCUGGUCUUGUGAGUAUAAAAUGAACUCCUUAAGUCAAAUUCCUUCUGGGGUGUUGGAGAAAGAACUAAAUACAUGUAAUCUUGCUUUCGGAUAUGGAUUAUCUGAUGGAUGUUGUAUUUUCUAGGUAUUGAGGAGAUUCCUCAUUAUUGAAAAAUUACGUUCCCGAGCAUCAAAAGAUGAUCCCAUAGAAUUGCGUUCUCCUGUGACAAAAGAGGAGCUUGUAGCUGAGGUAUCGAUUUUUAUCUUUCUUGAUUGUUCUUUAUAGUUGUUUCUCAUCAAAAUAGAAAAAGCAGUUUGUUCUGAGUGACCUGUGCGGUCUACUAUCAAUCACUGCCAUUUCUAUCAUUUAGUACUAUUGACUGUGUGUAUAGAUAUUUUGUUUUUGCCAUGUAAUUUCAUGUUUGAUACAUUUCUAAUACAUUGCAUAGCGUUCAUGAACGAGAAUGAUAAACUAACUUUCAGGUGUGUUUAAGUAGAUGAAAAAACUUGGUACAAUUUAGAAGGAUUCACUAAUUUUCCAAUUUGUUUGUAUGGAGAAAUUGAAUAGUUAAUUGAUUAGAGGAUUGCAAAGUGGGUAGGUCCAGCUGGGCAUUGUCAAUAUUAACGAUCGAUGUUUUGAGAAGGUCUGGAGCUGACAUCACGGUUGCGUCUGUGGAGAAACAACUUCGUGUCGACGCGUGUCACGGUGUCAAGAUUGUCGCUGAUGCUCUCGUGUCUGACUGCCGCGACGCCGUUUUUGAUCUUAUAGCUCUUCCCGUAUGUAUUGCAGCUCACCUCAGCUCAUGCCAAUUUAUGUGAUGUUUGUAUAAUUAUAGAUGAUUAUUGCUGAUACUGAAUGUUAAGCUAAAUAAUUCGUUCUUAAGUCAUCUUCAUUUAAUUUUCGAUUGAAAAUGAAAAAAAUAAUAAUUGUAAGCAAAGAAAAAUAUCGAAAAUGUUUAUUUUGUUUUAAUUUUAUUUUUUAAUUUUUUGGGAUUUCCUUAUUGUGGCUGUUAUUAUUCAUUAUAUGGUCCUAGUUAAAUAUUUCAAGUUGUUGUAGUUAGUGAAUUUCUUUUCGAUAUUUAUUCUGGCAUGUAUAUUUUUUCUUUUCAAUUUCUUUUGUUGCUGAUUCUUUGAUUAUGUUAUAUCCUUUUUUGUUUCCCUUGUAGGGUGGCGUGCCUGGUGCUACCAAUCUGAAAGAAUCUGAAGUAUUAGAAAGCAUUGUGAAGAAGCAGGCUUCAGAUGGGCGUCUUAAUGCUGUUAUCUGUGCUUCACCUGCUGAGGCAUUAGGGUCUAGGGGUCUGUUGAAGGGAUUGAAGGUAAGAAUUAGAUAAACCUUUUUGAUGUUCUGUGGUCUUUUGGGAAUUGCACUGAUAUUUUUGUUAUAGUUCAGUUUUCUUCUCGCUGAUGAUUGUUAAGUUCUAAUUUAUGUAGUUGUUCAUUUUUCGUAGGCUACUUGUUAUCCGUCAUUUAUGGAGCAAUUAGCUCCUGCUUGUGCAACAACUGUUGAAUCAAGAGUACCACAGGAUGGUAAAGUUGUUACGAGUCGUGGACCCUGCACUACUAUGGAGUUUGCUGUUGCACUUGUUGAGCAGUUGUAUGGGAAAGAGAGAGCUGAUGAGGUUUCUGGGCCACUGGUAGUAACUUUUAUAGAUAAUGUUGUUUAAAAAAAUUGUGAGUUAUAUAAUUUGUUGAAAUUCAUUCUAAUAGGUUCAUCUGGUAUGUCAAAUUGGAAGGUUCAGAUGCUAAUGUAGUCCAAAAAAUUAGUUCAGGGGAAAAGUAUGACUUUUUGCAUUAGAGAUUUAUUAGAUGAAGUUGUAUACCUACUGGCCCAUCUUAAUAUGGUGAAAACGAUGUAAAAUCGGGAGAGGGGGUUCGGGGGAGAGGGGAAGCCCUCUCCAACCGCAAGGCCGUUAUUCUGACAUGAAUAGAGUAAGGCCUUUACUUUUAUAAAGAAAGGUCCCUGUUUUGCACGUCUCCACUGAUCACAUUCUUUUUAAUGUAAGUUCUUUCUCUUGGUAUUUGUCUUUGAUUUUUCUCUUCCUCAUGCUGUCGUCUGUCAAAAGAUUUGGCUGCAGCAUCUAGAAGUUUUGAAGAAGCAAAAUGGGUCACACGGCUUUGAAGUUCUAGAUGCCGUAAUGUUUGGUAAAAGUAAAAAAAAAUUCAAAGCUCAAAAAUUCAAAGUUCGAAAAACUGAAAUUUUUGAGCUGUAUGGCUUGUAAUUUUAUAGCCACUUUUUUGACUUUUAAGGAAAAGUUUUACCUAUAAAUACAAGCUCUCAAUUUAGAGCUUGCAUCCAAUUUUGUAAAGAGAGUCGAGAGCUGUGAAAAGCAAUUCUUGCAGAGCAGAGAGUUUGUAGAGCUUAAAUAAUAAAAGCUGUUGUUUUAAUGAUUUGAGAGUUUGGAUGUAUUGGGGUUUUGGGAAGUGAGCUAAAAUACUACAAUACUUGUAACUCCUUUUCACUAGUAAAAUAUUUUUCUUCUAUCUUCACCCAUGGACGUAGGUUAAAAGCCGAACCACGUAAUUUCCUGGUGUCCUCUUUGUGCUUCUUCUUGAUUUUUUUUUCCCAAUUUUACUUUAGUUGCGGCCCUGCUUCACCCGCCAAUUUCCUAACAGCGGUAUCAGAGCUAUUAGUUGUAUUAUUUGGAGUCGGGUACUAUUCACAUACGGUACUGUUCACAUAUACGGUACUAUUCAUGUAUACGUUACUAUUCACGUGAAACGGUGGGAGCAAUUCUAGUAUUGGCGAUGCAAAGCAGGGGAAUAGUGUGUGUGAGUGGAGUAAUUGUGUGGUUUUGGACAUGUGUAAGAAAGUUCUGUCACAAAGGCGAUAAGAGCCUAAGGAGUUAGGAUUUUAAGUGGGACUAUUGUGACCCCUCCAGUCUUUCCUGGGAACUUUCUUGGUGUGCUCUCACACAUACUCACAACUAUUCAAGCUGGUACACUAGUUUUGUACAAUAUUUAUCAACAAAAUGGUGGCAAAGUAUGAAAUUGAGAAGUUUAACGGAAAUAAUUUUUCGUUGUGGAAAAUGAAGAUGAAAGUUGUAUUGAAGAAAAAUAAUUGAUUGGCAGCAAUUAGAGAAAGGCCCAUGGAGAUAACUGAUGACAAGUGGAACAAGAUAUAUGGCAACGCCAUUUUUGAUCUACACUUGGCACUUACGGAUGAAGUAUUAUUCAGUGUGGCAGAGAAAACUACAGCGAAGGAAAUAUGGGAUACUCUCACAAAAUUGUACGAGACCAGGUCACUACACAACAAAAUCUUCUUAAAGAGGAAGCUCUAUACUCUUCGAAUGACGGAAUCUACAAUGGUGACCGACCACAUCAAUACCUUGAAGACUCUAUUUUCACAACUCACAACGUUAGGUCAUAAUAUAGAGGAAAAUGAACAUGCAGAGCUUCUACUUCAAAGUCUACCAGAUUCGUAUAAUCAACUCAUCAUCAACCUGACGAAUAAUAAUCCAGCGGACAGUUUGGUUUUCGACGAUGUUGCAGCCUCCGUAUUAAAUGAGGAGAGCAGGCGGAAAAAUAAGAAAAAUAGACAAGCAAGUUUGCAGCAAGCGGAGGCGUUAUCGGCGACGAGAGGGAGAUCAACGGAACGUGGCUGGCCCCAGUGGGAGUCACAAUCGUGGUAGAUCAAAAUCCAGAAGUAAGAAGAAUGUUAAAUGCUACAAUUGUGGUAAGAAAGGGCACGUCAAGAAAGAGUGUUAGAGUAACCAGAAGAGAAAAGAUGGCAAAAAACCUGAGUCAUCAAAUGCUCAGGGGUGUGUAGCAAGUACCUCGGAUGAUGACGAAAUUCUCUACAGCGAGGCAACAACUGUUUCAGAAGGUAGAAAAUGACUAUAUGAUGUCUGGCUUAUAGACUCAGGAGCUACCUGACACAUGACCUAUCGUAGAGAAUGGUUCCACACAUAUGAACAUAUCUCAGGAGAAUAUGCAUAUAUAGGUAAUGAUCAUGCCUUGGAGAUCGUUAGUAUUGGUACUAUCAAAAUAAAAAUAUUUGAUGGUACAAUUCGCACAAUUGAGGAGGUACAACAUAUCAGCGGCCUGAAGAAAAAUCUAUUGUCUUUGGGACAAAUGGAUAGUCAUAGGUACAAAACUCAUGUGGAGAAUGGAAUUAUGUAGAUCGUUAAAGGCGCGCUUGUAUUGAUGAAGGCAGAAAAGAUCAGUGCUAAUUUAUUCAUGCUUAAAGGAGAAACACUACAGGAGGCUGAUGUAUGUGUCGCGUCAAAUGGAGAAGAGUCAACGAUGAUGUGGCAUCUCAAACUUGGCCACAUGUCAGAACAAGGCUAGAAGAUUCUCUCUGAGUGAAAAUUGCUUCCAGGGUUCAAAUCGGUAAGUUUACCAUUUUGCGAGCAUUGUGUUAUAAGUAAGCAACAUAGAUUAAAGUUCAGUAGAUCUAUUACUAGAAGUAAAUGCAUUCUAGAAUUGAUUCAUUCUGAUGUUUAGGAAUCGCCGGAUAUGUCCAUGGGAGGUGCAAAGUACAUGGUGACUUUCAUUGAUGAUUAUUGCAGGAGAUGUUGGGUGUAUUCAAUUAAGAAAAAGUCAGAUGUAUUUCCAGUGUUUAAAGAAUACAAAGCGCGGGUGGAACUUGAAUUUGGUAAAAGGAUCGAGUGCUUGGGGACAAAUAAUGGUGGAGAGUAUACAGACGGCGAGUUUCUUGCUUUCUGUAAGCAAAAAGGUAUUUAGAGGUAGUUAAUGGUAGCAUACACUCCUCAACAAAACGGAGUGGCGAAGCGAAUGAACAUAACUCUUACAAAAAGAAUAAUAGCUAUGUUGAGGACUGCUGGUCUACCCAAUUCAUUCUGGGCAGAAGCAGCCAAAACUGCCUGUUAUAUCGUAAAUCGAUUGCCAUCUACAACAAUUGGGCUGAAGACAGCGAUGGAGAUAUGGACUGGAAAGCUAGCUGAUUACUCAUACCUACAUGCAUUUGGAUGUCCUGUGUACGUGAUGUACAAUGCCCAAGAAAGAAUAAAGCUUGAUCUAAAAUCUAGAAGAUGUAUCUUCUUGGGAUAUACUGAUGGAGUAAAGGGGUAUCGUCUGUAGGACCCCACUGCCCACAAGAUCGUCAUCAGCAGAGAUGUUAUUUUUUGUAGAAGAUCAACUACAAAGGAAAGAUAGAGAUGAUGACACUGUAAAAGAAAAGUCAGAGACUGUGCCAGUAUAUGUGGAAAAUAAUCCAGAAGAUUCAGAUUCUUCUGAAGCAACACCAGAGCAUGAAGAAUAAGAAUCAGUCGAGUUCGAGGCUCCAGAAGUUCGUCGGUUAACUCGUGAAAGACGACCGCCAACGUGACACUCGGAGUAUGUCACAGAGAUCAACGUUGCAUACUGUUUUCUAACAGAGGAUGGAGAGCCUUCAACUUUCCAUAAAUCUUUAAACAGCUCAGAUGUUACUUUAUGGAUGACAACAAUGCAGGAAGCAAUUGAGGCUCUACAUAAGAACAAGACAUUGGAGCUUGUACCACUACUACGUGGAAGAAAAGAUAUUGGAAACAAAUAGAUCUACAAGAUCAAAUGUGAUGGUAAUGACCAAGUGGAACGGUAUCAUGCAAGAUUGGUGGUGAAAUGAUAUGCUCAGAAAGAAGGUAUUGACUUCAACGGAAUAUUUUCUCUGGUGGUUUGACUCACAACAGUCAGAAUAGUCUUGGUAAUGUGUGCUACAUUUGACUUACAUCUUGAGCAGUUAGAUGUGAAAAUUGCAUUUCUUCAUGGAGAACUUGAAGAAGAAAUUUAUAUGCUCCAACCAGAAGGUUUUGCUGAAAAGGGAAAGGAGAACUUGGUUUGCAGGUUGAACAAAUCUUUAUACGGUCUCAAACAGGCACCGAUGUGUUGGUAUAAGAGAUUUGAUUCCUUCAUCAUAAGCCUCAGAUACAAUAGACUCAGCUCAGACCAAUGUGCAUAUUAUAAAAGGUUUGAAGAUAAUGAUUUCAUUAUUUUGAUAUUGUAUGUGGAUGACAUGUUGGUAGCAGGCCCCAACAAAGAUCGAGUCCAAGAAUUGAAGGUAUAAUUGAUUAGGGAGUUUGAAAUAAAGGACUUGGGACUAGAAAAUAAGAUUCUAGGGAUGCAAAUUCACCGAGACAGAAAUAACAGGAAGAUUUGGCUUUCUCAGAAGAACUACUUGAAGAAAAUUUUGCGACGCUUCAACAUGCAAGAUUGUAAGUCAAUUUCUACCCCACUUCCUGUUAAUUUCAAAUUAUCCUUAAGUAUGUGUCUGAGCAAUGAAGCAGAGAAGGAGGAGAUGUCUCGAGUACCGCAUGCAUCAGCAGUGGGAAGUUUGAUGUUCGCUAUGAUAUGUACUGGAUCGGACAUUGCACAAGCAGUGGGAGCAGUCAGUCGGUACAUGGCAAAUCCUAGUGGAGAGUAUUGGAUAACUGUGAAGAAGAUUCUGAGAUACAUCAGAGGAACCUCAGAUGUUGCAUUAUGUUAUGGAGGAUCAGAGUUUACUGUCAGGGGUUAUGUGGAUUCAGAUUUUGUAGGAGACUUUGAUAAAAGAAAAUCCACUAUUGGCUAUAUGUUUACACUUGCAGGAGAAGCUGUAAGCUGAGUUUUGAAACUGCAGACCGUUGUGGUUUUAUCUACAACAGAAGCAGAAUACAUGGCAGCUACACAAGCUUGGAAGGAAGCUAUCUGGAUACAAAGGUUAUUGGAGGAGUUCGGGCACAAACAAGAGAAAAUUUUUGUGUAUUGUGACAGUCAGAGUGCCUUGCAUAUUGUAAGAAAUCCAGCAUUUCAUUCAAGGACAAAGCAUGUAGGAGUUCAGUAUCACUUCGUUCAAGAAGUAGUGGAAGACGGAAGUGUGGAUUUACAGAAAAUCCAUACGAAGGAGAACCUAGCAGAUGUUUUGACCAAGCCGAUAAAUACUGAUAAGUUUGUCUGGAGUAGAUUCUCUUGUGGCCUAGCAGAAACGUAGGCAACAUGACAGUGGCGAAGCAGAAACGAUGGUGUGGAGAUUGAUUGAUCCUCAAUCAAAUCUCCAAGUGGGAGAAUGUCAAAAGAUUUGGCUGCAACAUCUAGAAGCUGCAUCUAGAAGUUUUGAAGAAGCAAAAUGGGUGGCACAUGACUUUGAAGUUCUAGAUGCUGUAAUGUUUAGUAAAAGAAAAAGAAAAAAAUUCAAAGCUAAAAAAUUCAAAGUUUGAAAAUCUAAAAUUUUUGACCUGUAUGGCUUGAAAUUUUAUAGCCACGUUUUUUACUUUUGAGGCAAAGUUUUGCCUAUAAAUACAAGCUCUCAAUUUAGAGCUUGCAUCCAAUUUUGUAAAGAAAGUCGAGAGCUGUUAGAAGCAAUUCUUGCAGAGCAGAGAGUUUGUAGAGCUUAAAUAAUAAAAGCUCUUGUUUUAGUGAUUUGAGAGUUUAGGUGUAUUAGGGUUUUGGGAAGUGAGCUAAAAUACUACAAUACUUGUAACUCUUUUUCACUAGUAAAAUAUUUUCCUUCUGUCUUCGCCCGUAGAAGUAGGCUAAAAGCCGAACCACGUAAUUUCCUGGUGUCCUCUUUGUGCUUGUUCUUUAUUUUUUUUCAAUUUUAUUUUAGCUGCGGCCCUGCUUCACCCACCAAUUUUCUAACAUCGUCUUCACUGUCACCCUGUGCCUAGGUAAUGCGUGCAAAUCAUGGGGUUGAAUACACUAUUGCUGAAUUCAAUCCAAUUCAGUGGACAUUUGACAAUUCUCCCCAGGUGAGAUUGGACUUCUAGUUUCUUGUAUUUGUUUUUCUUCAUCCGAUGUUUUCAGGGAUACCUAUUUGGCAGUAUAUAAAAAUCUGUGAUAUCGUCUAUACAUAUACAUAUACAUCAUUGGCUUCAGUCAUUUGUGAACAUAUUGGUGGUAGUAGAUGUAUUUUUAUGAUAUCUCUAAUAAAAUCCUAAGUUUGAUUAAUUACAAAAGAAGUAUGAGCGGUGCUGGACCGGGGGGGAGGGGGGAGGAGUGGGGUGUCGGUGUGUUGGGGGUGUGCAGUGCAUGAAUAAAAGGAAAUGAUAGGGGGUGAAAGUUUGUGCUACCGACAUGCUGUAAAAUGGGGACACAAUAUUUCAAAUUAGAGAUUGUGAGAUCCUUAAUAUUGCUGACUUGUGCUUAAAAUGGAAUUCUUGAUAACUUCAAAUGUUAAAGUUCUUGGUGAAAUUUUGUACUUUCUUUUCUUUCAGAUUCUUGUGCCUAUUGCAAAUGGUUCAGAGGAGAUGGAAGCUGUUAUGAUAAUUGAUAUUCUGCGACGAGCUAAAGCAAAUGUUGCAGUUGCAUCAGUUGAGGAUAAACUAGAAAUUCUGGCUUCGUCAAAUUAAAUUAGUGGUAGAUGUGCUCAUUGAUGAGGCGGCUAAACUUUCGUAUGAUUUAGUUGUCUUGCCAGUGAGUUGGGGUGCUUACUCUUGCUUCAUAGUCUUUACCACAUUAUUGACUUACUAACUACAAUUUAUCCAUGCACAUUGCACAGGGUGGACUUGGUGGCGCUCAAGCAUUUGCGAAGUCAGAUAAAUUGGUGAAUAUGCUAAAGAAGCAAAAGGAAUCAAAUAGACCUUACGAUGCUAUAUGUGCAUCCCCAGCUUUAGUGUUGGAGCCCCGUGGCUUACUCAAGGUACGACCAUUUCUGCUUAAAUUAUUUACUCAGAUUUGGAUCACCUAAUCUGAACUUGAUGAGAGAUUAUGAUGUUGUAUGAUUUUAUGAAUGUGGUCUUAUCUCAUGUAAGUCAGUGAUGAAUUAAUUGGAGUUUGUUGACAAAUUAGAAGCUGAAAAACUGCUGCUGCUUCGUUAGUUACAUUACCCAAAGAGUUAAAAUUAACAUCACAAAUUUGUUAUCCCAAAUGAUAUGGCAUUUAUUGAGUGAUUGGUAUUAAUUGUAUUAUCUAACCCACCAACAGAUGAAUGCCGCACCAUUUGAGACGAUCUUUUGGGAUAAAAAAUUUGGGAAGUGCAGCAAAUUUUUAUGCCGAUUUUUUUUGGCUUCAUUCAUGUAAACUCCUCCCCCCCCCCCCCCAAAAAAAAAGGAAAACCAGCAAACACCAAAAAAAAAAAAUUCUGAAGUACUUCCCUUAAUAUCAUUCCUGUGUAUUUCUUUUCCCCUCAAGACAUAUUUAACUUUGGUUCAGGGUAAAAAAGCUACAGCUUUUCCUGCCAUGUGCAACAAGCUGUCAGAUCAGAGUGAAAUCGAAAACAGAGUUGUGGUUGAUGGCAACCUCAUCACCAGUAGAGGGCCAGGAACUUCAAUGGAGUUUGCACUGGCAGUUGUGGAGAAGUUUUUUGGCCGCAACAAGGCACUUGAGCUUGCAAAGAUAAUGCUUUUCACUCGCGCCUAACGUUUGUACCGGGACCUGACUACUAUUAAACUAGUGUGUUUAUUUCUGUAUUACUACUGCUUGUAGAGAGGGGAAACGGAAACUUGAAUUCAUGUUUGAAUAUGGAUUCACUGUGUCGGUUUGUACAGCAGUUUGGUUUAUAAAUAAAUGAGUUCAUAGAGUCAUUUCAAAUAUUUGGAAUAAACCUGAGUUUAGUUCUGUUAUCAAUGGUCGGAGUCCAAUUGCGAUCGACUCACUGGGAAUUUUAAUUAUG
rnacentral:lncRNA from 1 species